rnacentral:lncRNA from 1 species
UUUUGAUGAGCAAAUUUAUUAUGAUGAAAGAAUGCCUCCUAUUUAUGAUGAUUAUUGUGAUGACAUGUAUGCUAUAAAGAAUAAAGAUAGCCAUGAAACUUGUCAUCAUGAUUUUAAUUUUCAAUUGGAUUAUGCUUCACAUGAUAGCUAUUUCGUUGAGUUUGCUCCCAGUACUAUUCAUGAGCAUAAAUUUGCUUAUGUGGAGAGUAGUAAAAUUUCUAUGCAAGUAGAUCAUGAAAAGAAUGCUUUAUGUGAUGGUUAUAUUGUCGAAUUAAUUCAUGAUGCUACUGAAAAUUAUUAUGAGAGAGUCAUAUGCUUAUAGGAAUUGCAAUAAUAUCAAGUUUACUCUCUAUGUGUUGAAAAUCUUGAAUCUAUGCUUGUUUUGCUUUCCUAUGCUAGUUGAUUCUUGUUCCCAUAAGUUGUUUGCUCACAAAAUCGCUAUGCAUAGGAAGUGGGUUAGGCUUAAAUGUGCUAGUCAUAUGCUUCAUGAUGCUCCCGUUAUGUUUCAAUUCUUAUCUUUUAUGUGAGCAUCAUUGUCAUCAUCAUGCCUAGCUAAAAAGGCAUUAAAGAAAAACGCUUGUUGGGAGAUAACCCAAUAUUUACCCUUACUGUUUUUUUUUUGUCCACAUGAUUAAGCUACUGUAGUAAUCAUGCUUUAUAGCUUUUGUUUCAAUAAAUUGCCAAGUAAGACCUUUAGGAUAGCUUACGGUGAUAGUUGUGUUGAUCCUGCUGAAAAUCAGAAACUUUUGCGCCCAGUAAAUUAGUUUUCAUAAUUCACAGAAGCAUGCUAUUGAUCCGAUUCUUUUUGCUCUGGAUUGGUACACAAAUUUCUCGCGUUUGUCUAAUUUGGUAGGAUUUUUGGAGUUACAUAAGUAUUCGAAUGAUACAGAUUACUACAGACUGUCUUGUUUUUGACAGAUUCUGUUUUCUAUGUGUUGUUAGCUUAUUUUGAUGAAUCUAUGAGUAGUAUCGGAGGGUAUGAACCAUAGAGAAGUUGUAAUACAGUAUAUAUUACACCAAUAUGAAUUUAGAAUGAGUUAACAACAGUACCUAAGUGGUGGUUUUAUUUUCUUAUACUAACGGAGCUCAUAAGAUUUUCUAUUGAGUUUUGUGUUGUGAAGUUUUCAAGUUUUGGGUGAAGUUUCGAUGGACUAUGGAAUAAGGAGUGGCAAGAGCCUAAGCUUGGGGAUGAACAAGGCACCCCAAGGUAAUAUUCAAGGACAACCAAGCAACUAAGCUUGGGGAUGCCCCGGAUGGAAUCCCCUCUUUCGUCUUCGUUCAUCGGUAACUUUACUUGGAGCUAUAUUUUUAUUCACCACAUGAUAUGUCUUUUGCUUGGAGCGUCAUUUUCUUUUUUUAGUAUUUUCUUGCUUUUAUUUAGAAUAAUGUUUUGCAUAUUUAUUUUCAAUAAAAAUGUCAAGGAUAGCCUUUACCAUGCUUAUUUUGCAAGUAUACAUGUUGCUGUUUCAAAACAAAAAGUUUAUCGCUGUUGCAAAAAUUCCCUAGAAAAGCCAGAAUAUGAUAAAAUGUUGAAACUUUUUGCAUAAUAGUCUCUGAUAAAUUUUCUACAGUGUGGUAGAAUUUCAAAAUAUUUGGAGUUAGGCAAGUAUUGAUACUCUUGCAUUCUUUACAGACUGUACUGUUUUGGCAGAUUGCUGUUAUGUUUGCAUUGUUUGCAUAUGUUUGCUUGUUUAAUGAUUCUAUUUGAGGAUAGGAGUAUUAAAUAUGCAGAAACAUUUAGUAUGCAAUGUUGAAUAAUAAUUUUUGUGAUUGCUACAUGAUACGUCUCCAACGUAUCUAUAAUUUUUUAUUGUUCCAUGCUAUUAUAUUAUCUGAUUUUGAUGUUCAAUGGGCUUUAUCAUACACUUUUAUAUUAUUUUUGGGACUAACCUAUUAACCAGAGGCCCAUCCCAAAUUGCUGUUUUUUUGCCUAUUUUGGUGUUUCGUAGAAAAGGAAUAUCAAACGGAGUCCAAACGGAAUGAAACCUUCGGGAACGUGAUUUUCGGAACAAACGUGAUCCAGAGGACUUGGACUGGACGUCAAGCAAUCAACGAGGAGGCCACGAGGCAGGGAGGCGUGCCUGCCCCCUGGGCGCGCCCCCCACCCUCGUGGGCCUCUCGUAGCUCCAACGACCUACUUCUUCCACCUAUAUAUACCUACGUACCCCGAGAACAUCCAGGAGCACCACGAAACCCUAUUUCCACCGCCGCAACCUUCUGUACCCGUGAGAUCCCAUCUUGGCCUUUUUCGGCGCUCCGCUGGAGCGGGCAUUGAUCACGGAGGGCUUCUACAUCAACACCAUAGCCUCUCCGAUGAUGUGUGAGUAGUUUACCUCAGACCUUUGGGUCCAUAGUUAUUAGCUAAAUGGCUUCUUCUCUCUCUUUGGAUCUCAAUACAAAGUUCUCCUCGAUUCUCUUGGAGAUCUAUUCGAUGUAAUCUUCUUUCGCGGUGUGUUUGUCGAGAUCCGAUGAAUUGUGGGUUUAUGAUCAAGAUUAUCUAUGAACAAUAUUUGAAUCUCCUCUGAAUUCUUUUAUGUAUGAUUGGUUAUCUUUGCAAGUCUCUUCGAAAUAUCAGUUUGGGUUGGCCUACUAGAUUGAUCUUUCUUGCAAUGGGAGAAGUGCUUAGCUUUGGGUUCAAUCUUGCGGUGCUUGAUCCCAGUGACAGUACGGGAAACGACACUAUUGUAUUGUUGCCAUCGAGGAUAAAAAUAUGGGUUUUAUAUCAUAUUGCUUGAGUUUAUCCCUCUACAUCAUGUCAUCUUGCCUAAUGCGUUACUCUGUUCUUAUGAACAUAAUACUCUAGAUGCAUGAUGGAUAGCGGUCGAUGUGUGGAGUAAUAGUAGUAGAUGCAGGCAGGAGUCGGUCUACUUGUCACGGACGUGAUGCCUAUAUACAUGAUCAUACCUAGAUAUUCUCAUAACUAUGCUCAAUUCUAUCAAUUGCUCGACGGUAAUUUGUUCACCCACCGUAAUACUUAUGCUAUCUCGAGAGAAGCCACUAGUGAAACCUAUGGCCCCCGGGUCUAUUUUCCAUUAUAUUAAUCUCCCGUCAACUAGUUAUUUGUGUCGCCGUUUAUUUUGCUUUCUUUACUUUUAGUCUUUAUCAUAAAAAUACCAAAAAUAUUAUCUUAUCAUCUCUAUCAGAUCUCACUUUUGCAAGUGGUCGUGAAGGGAUUGACAACCCCUUUAUCGCGUUGGUUGCAAGGUUCUUGUUUGUUUGUGCAGGUACGAGGGACUUGAGCGUGGCCUCCUACUGGAUUGAUACCUUGGUUCUCAAAAACUGAGGGAAAUACUUACGCUAGUUUGCUGCAUCACCCUUUCCUCUUCAAGGAAAAACCAACGCUGUGCUCAAGAGGUAGCAAGAAGGAUUUCUGGCGCCGUUGCCGGGGAGUCUACGCACAAGUCAAGACAUACCAAUUACCCAUCACAAACUCUUAUCCCUCGCAUUACAUUAUUUGCCAUUUUCCUCUCCCCCACUUCACCUUUGCCUUUGCCUUUUCUUCGCCCUCCUUCCAUUCAUCUUUUCGUUUGCCUUGAUGUCUUACUUGUCUCGUUUGCUCGUUUGGUUGGAAUAGUUGAGUAUUUAUUGCUAAACAGAGAACCUAAGAUCUAUGGAUCCUCAUCCGCUUGCUAAUCUUUUUAAGAGAUCCAAUUAUGAUGAACCAAUUUCUAGUGAUUUGAGUGCACUAGAUUAUCUUUAUGAGGUUUUGCUUGAAAUUCGUGAAUCUGGAAAUUGUGAUGAAGAAAUUUAUGAAGAGAUUCACGGUAGCUCCUUGAAUAAAAAGCAUGAUUGCAAUGAUGAUAUUAUAAAUUCUCUUGAUGUCAAUUGUGCUAAUAAUAUGCAAAACCCUAAGCUUGGGAUGCUAGUUUCGCUAUGUCUACUACUUGUUGCAAUGAUCAUGAUUGGGGUGGUUCUUCUUAUGAUCUUGAAAAUUUAUUUAAGCCCCAUGAUGAAUAUGAGAUUGAUAAUAGUGUUUGCAAUAAUAUCGAAAGUGAGUUUGGAAGAGUGUCAACUUUAGAUCCCACAUAUUUGGAGAAUGUUCAAUCUUAUGGUAUUUUUGAUAAAAGUGGGUUUGGAGAGGUCAUGACUUUAUUUAAUGAUAAUCCCACUAUUUUGGAAGAGUGUCAACUUUGCAUGCUAUUGUGUUGAAAAUAUUUUAUGUGAUAGCUAUUUUGUUGAAUUUGCUUAUGAUCCCACAUGUAAUUAUUAUGAGAGAGGAAAAUAUGGUUGUAGAAAUUUUCAUGUUACUAAAAUACCUCUCGUUAUGUUGAGAUUGCUAUUGUUUCUUUCCGCUUCCUUGCAUAUGCUAGUUUUUGCUUGCUAUGAUAAUUUGUUUGCCUACAACAUGCCUAUGCAUAGGAAGUAUGUUACACUUAGAUGUGUUUGUAACGUGUUUCAUGAUGCUCUCUUUGUGCUUCAAUUCUUGUCUUUCAUGUGAGCAUCAUCAAAAUUAUUAAUGCCUAGCUAGGGGCGUUAAACGAUAGCGCUUGUUGGGAGGCAACCCAGUUUUAUUUUUGUUCCUUGCUUUUACUUUCGGUUUUUGAAUAAAUAAUUCAUCUAGCCUCUGGUUAGAUUUGUUUUUAUGUUUUAAUUAGUGUUUGUGCCAAGUAAAACCUUUAGGAUAACCUACGGUGAUAGUUAUUUGAUCUUGCUGUAAAAUACAGAAACUUUGCGCGCACGAGAUUAGUUUUCAUAAAUCACAAAAACGUGAUUUUCAGUUGAUUCUUCUUGCAGUAGUUUAGUAAACAAAUUAUCUAGGACUUCCUAAUUUGGUAGUAUUUUUAAGUUCCAGAAGUUUGCGUUUGAUACAGAUUACUACAGCCAGUUCUGUAUUUCGUGUGUUGUUUGCUUAUUUUGAUGAAUCUAUGGCUAGUAUCGGAGGUUAUGAACCAUAGAGAAGUUGGAAUACAGUAGGUUUAACACCACUAUAAAUAAAGAAUGAGGUCAUUACAGUAACUUGAAGUGGUGGUUUGUUUUAUUUCGCUAACGGAGCUUAUGAGAUUUUCUGUUGAGUUUUGUGUUGUGAAGUUUUCAAGUUUUUGGGUAAAGAUUUGAUGGAUUAUGGAAUAAGGAGUGGCAAGAGCCUAAGCUUUGGGAUGCCCAAGGCACCCCAAGGUAAAAUUCAAGGACAACCAAAAGCCUAAGCUUGGGGAUGCCCCGGAAGGCAUCCCCUCUUUCGUCUUCGUCCAUCGGUAACUUUACUUGAUGCUAUCUUUUUAUUCACCACAUGAUAUUUGUUUUGCUUGGAGCGUAUUGUAUGAUUUGAGUCUUUUCUUUUUAGUUUACCACAAUCAUCCUUGCUAUACACACCUUUUGGGAGAGACACACAUGAAUCGGAAUUUAUUAGAAUACUCUAUGUGCUUCACUUAUAUAUUUUGAGUUAGAUAAUUUUGCUCUAGUGCUUCACUUAUAACUUUUCAGAGCACGGUGGUGAUUUUAUUUUAUAGAAAUUAUUGAUCUCUCAUGCUUCACUUAAAUUAUUUUGAGAGUCUUUUAGAACAGCAUGGUAUUUUGCUUUGGUUUAAAUUAGUCCUAAAGUAAUAGGCAUCCAAAAUAGGUAUAAUAAAAACUAUCAUAUAAAGUGCAUUGAAUACUAUGAGAAGUUUGAUACUUGAUGAUUGUUUUGAGAUAUGGAGAUAGUGAUAUUAAAGUUGUGCAAGUUGAGUAAUUGUGAAAUUAAGAAAUACUUGUGUUGACGUUUGCAAGUCCCAUAGCAUGCACGUAUGGUAACCGUUGUGUAACAAAUUUGAAACAUGAAGUGUUCUUUGAGUGUCAUCCUUUCUGUGGAGGUCGGGGGCGCGCGAUGGUUAACUCCUACCAACCUCCCCCCUAGGAGCAUGCGUGUAGUGCUUGGUUUUGAUGACUUGUAGAUUUUUGCAAUAAGUAUGUGAGUUCUUUAUGACUAAUGUUGAGUCCAUGGAUUAUACGCACUCUCACCCUUCCAUCAUUGCUAGCCUCUUCGGUGCCGUGCAUUGCCCUUUCUCACCUUGAGAGUUGGUGCAAAUUUCGCCGGUGCAUCCAAACCCCGUGAUAUGAUACGCUCUAUCACACAUAAACCUCCUUAUAUCUUCCUCAAAACAGGCACCAUACCUACCUAUCAUGGCAUUUCCAUAGCCAUUCCGAGAUAUAUUGCCAUGCAACUUUCCACCAUUCCGUUUAUUAUGACACGCUUCAUCAUUGUCAUAUUGCCAUGCAUGAUCAUGUAGUUGACAUCGUAUUUGUGGCAAAGCCACCAUGCAUAUUAUUUCAUACAUGUCACUCUUGAUUCAUUCCCCAUCCCGGUACACCGCCGGAGGCAUUCAUUUAGAGUCAUAUUUUGUUCUAGUAUCGAGUUGUAAUCAUUGAGUUGUAAAUAAAUAGAAGUGUGAUGAUCAUCAUUCAUAGAGCAUUGUCCUAAAAAAGGGAAAGGCCAGAAAAAAGAAGGCCCAAAAAAAGAGAAGAAAUAAAAAAGGGGGACAAUGCUACUAUCUCUUUUUCCACAGUUGUGCUUCAAAGUAGCACCAUGAUCUUUAUGAUAGAGAGUCUCUUGUUUUGUCACUUUCAUAUACCAGUGGGAAUUUUUCAUUAUUGAACUUGGCUUGUAUAUUCCAACAAUGGGCUUCCUCAAAUGCCCUAGGUCUUCGUGAGCAAGCAAGUUGGAUGCACACCCACUUAGUUUCAUUUGUUGAGCUUUCAUACAUUUAUAGCUCUAGUGCAUCCGUUGCAUGGCAAUCCCAACUCCUUGCGUUCACAUCAAUUGAUGGGAAUCUCCAUAGCCCGUUGAUUAGCCGCGUCAACGUGAGACUUUCUCCUUUUUUGUCUUCUCCACACAACCCCCACCAUCAUAUUCUAUUCCACUCAUAGUGUUAUGUCCAUGGCUCACGCUCAUGUAUUGCGUGAAGGUUGAAAAAGUUUGAAAAUUCUUAAGUAUGAAACAAUUGCUUGGCUGAAACCGAGGUUGUGCAUGAUUUGAAUAUUUUGUGUGACGAAGAUGGGACAUAGCCAAACCAUAUGAUUUUGUAGGGAUGAAUUUACUUUAGCAAUGUUAUUUUUAGAAGACAUAAUUGCUUAGUUACUAUGCUUGAAGUACUAUUAUUUUUAUGUCAAUAUUAAACUUUUAUCUUGAAUCUUUCAAAUCUGAACAUUCAUGCCACAAUAAAGAAAGUUACAUUGAGAAAUAUGCUAGGUAGCAUUCCACAUCAAAAAUUCUGUUUUUAUCGUUUACCUACUCGAGGACGAGCAGGAAUUAAGCUUGGGGAUGCUUGAUACGUCUCCAACGUAUCUAUAAUUUUUGAUUAUUCCAUGCUAUUAUAUUAUCUGAUUUGGAUGUUUAAUGGGCUUUAUCAUACACUUCUAUAUUAUUUUUGGGACUAACCUAUUAACCGGAGGCCCAACCCAAAUUGCUGUUUUUUUUCCUAUUUCAGUGUUUCGCAGAAAAGGAAUAUCAAAUGGAGUCCAGACGGAAUGAAACCUUCGGGAACGUGAUUUUCGGAACAAACGUGAUCCAGAGGACUUGGAGUGGAUGUCAAGCAAUCAACGAGGAGGCCACGAGGCAGGGAGGCGCGCCCCCCACCCUCGUGGGCCCCUCGUAGCUCCACUGACCUACUUCUUCCUCCUAUAUAUACCUAUGUACCCCAAAAACAUCCAGGAGCACCACGAAACCCUAUUUCCACCGCCACAACCUUUUGUACCCAUGAGAUCCCAUCUUGGGCCCUUUUCCGGCGCUCCGUUGGAGCGGGCAUUGAUCACGGAGGGCUUCUACAUCAACACCAUGGCCUCUCCGAUGAUGCGUGAGUAGUUUACCUCAGACCUUCGGGUCCAUAGUUAUUAGCUAGAUGGCUUCUUCUCUCUCUUUGGAUCUCAAUACAAAGUUCUCCUUGAUUCUCUUGGAGAUCUAUUCAAUGUAAUCUUCUUUUGUGGUGUGUUUGUCGAGAUCCGAUGAAUUGUGGGUCUAUGAUCAAGAUUAUCUAUGAACAAUAUUUGAAUAUCCUCUGAAUUCUUUUAUGUAUGAUUGGUUAUAUUUGCAAGUCUCUUCGACUUAUCAGUUUGGUUUGGCCUACUAGAUUGAUCUUUCUUGCAAUGGGAGAAGUGCUUAGCUUUGGGUUCAAUCUUGCGGUGCUCGAUCCCAGUGACAGUAGGAGAAACGACACGUAUUGUAUUGUUGCCAUCGAGGAUAAAAAGAUGGGGUUUAUAUCAUAUUUCUUGAGUUUAUCCCUCUACAUCAUGUCAUCUUGCCUAAUGCGUUACUCUGUUCUUAUGAACUUAAUACUCUAGAUGCAUGAUGGAUAGCGGUCGAUGUGUGGAGUAAUAGUAGUAGAUGCAGGCAGGAGUCGGUCUACUUGUCACGGACGUGAUGCCUAUAUACAUGAUCAUACCUAGAUAUUCUCAUAACUAUGCUCAAUUCUAUCAAUUGCUCGACAGUAAUUUGUUCACCCACUGUAAUACUUAUGCUAUCUUCAGAGAAGCCACUAGUGAAACCUAUGGCCCCCGGGUCUAUUUUCCAUUAUAUUAAUCUCCCGUCAACUAGUUAUUUCUGUCGCCGUUUAUUUUGCUUUCUUUACUUUUAGUCUUUAUCUUAAAAAUACCAAAAAUAUUAUCUUAUCAUCUCUAUCAGAUCUCACUUUUGCAACUGGCUGUGAAGGGAUUGACAACCCCUUUAUCGCGUUGGUUGCAAGGUUCUUAUUUGUUUGUGCAGGUACGAGGGACUUGAGCGUGGCCUCCUACUGGAUUGAUACAUUGGUUCUCAAAAACUGAGGGAAAUACUUACGCUACUUUGCUGCAUCACCCUUUCCUCUUCAAGGGAAAACCAACGAUGUGCUCAAGAGGUAGCACUACAGUAGAGAAUGAUAAGGUUUUUGCAUUGGUUUAUACUAACUUAUCUCACGAGUUCUUGUUGAGUUUUGUGUGGGUGUAGUAUUUGAGAUUUAGGGAAACCGAGAUAUAAAAGGAAUUAAGGAGACAUAAAAUCUCAAGCUUGGGGAUGCCCAAGGCAUCUCAAGAUAAUAUUUCAAGAAGUCUCGAGCAUCUAAGCUUGGGGAUGCCCCGGUAGGCAUCCCACCUUUCUUCUUCAACAAUUAUCGGUUAGUAUCGGUUGAACCUAAGUUUUUGCUUCUUCACAUGAUGUGUGCUAUCCUUGAAAUGUCAUUUUGUUUUGUUUUACUUGCUGUUUGAAUAAUAUCCCAAGAUCUGAAACUCUUAAAUGUUAGAGAGUCUUCACAUAGUUGCAUAAUUAUUUGACUACUCAUUGAUCUUCACUUAUAUCUUUCGGAGUAGUUUGUCAUUUGCUCUAGUGCUUCACUUAUAUCCUUUUAGAGCAUAGCGGUGGUUUUAUUUUGAAGAAAUAGAUGAACUAUCAUGCUUCACUUAUAUUAUUUUGAGAGUCUUAAACAGCAUGGUAAUUUGCUUUGGUUAUGAAUUUAGUCCUAAUAUGAUGGGCAUCCAAGAUGGAUAUAAUAAAAACUUUCAUAAAAAGUGCAUUGAAUACUAUGAGAAGUUUGAUGCUUGAUGAUUGUUUUGAGAUAUGAGGAUGGUGAUAUUAGAGUCAUGCUAGUAUAGUAGUUGUGAAUUUGAGAAAUACUUGUGUUGAGGUUUGCAAGUCUCGUAGCAUGCACGUAUGGUAACCGUUGUGUGACAAAUUUGAAGCAUGAGGUAUUUCUUUGAUUGUCUUCCUUUGUGUGGAGGUCGGGAUCGCGCAAUGGUUAACUCCUACCAACCCUUCCCCUAGGAGCAUGCGUGCAGUGCUUGGUUUUGAUGACUUGUAGAUUUUUGCAAUAAGUAUGUGAGUUCUUUAUGACUAAUGUUGAGUCCAUGGAUUAUACGCACUCUCACCCUUCCACUACUGGAAUCAGCUUCUUUGCCGUCCGCCAUGGCGGAAGGCAAAGGCAUGGAUCACGGACGGCAAACGUCUUUGCCGUCCGCCAGUAGACGGCAAACUGUCCGUCUGAACACGUGCCAGCAAAGGCCUUCUUUGUCGUCCGCUUCCCAGAAGCGGAUGGCAAAGGAUUUAGGCCAGCAGACGGCAAAGACAACGGACGGCAGUGCGGUGGCCGUCCUAGGCUAGCAGACGGCAAAGAGGCUACAUAUCCCCUGUUUUUAUUUGAAUCCAUUUAAUUUCACAGGAAUUCACACACGGAUAUACAUAUAUAUUUUUUCACAUGCACAGCAGACAUAUGAUGUAUCCAACACAUAUAGCUCCAUCCAUGACAACAUACAUACAUAAUAAGAAACAGAGUUCCAUCCAUACAUAUUACAGUAACAUCACAAUGUUCAUCCAACACAUUGUUCCAUGCAUCCAUAUAACAAGUUCCACAUUUUUCAUCGAUACAAACGAAAAAAAGAAAAGGGAAACAAGCACUCCAUCCAUGCAAGCUUCCAUAUAGUGAAUUAAAUCUGCAAAAUGGGAAACAAGAAAGCUAGAAGAAGAAGACUAGAAUCAGAAGAACAAGAAGAAGAAGAAGAAGAAGAAGAAGAAAAUGAAGAAGAAGUUCAUUUUGGAGAUAAUUAUGCCAUUUUUGACCUAACUAAGCAUAUUAUGAGAUAUAACUUAGAGCUUACUUCAUUUUGGAGAAGAAGAAGAAGAAGUAAACUAGAAGAAGAAUCUUCUUUUCUUCUCCUUCUUUUUCUUCUUCCUCUUCUUCUUCUUCUUUUCUUACCAUUCCUUCUUUUCUUCCUCUUCCUUGAUUUUCUUCAUCUUAUUAUGUCAUUUGUGGACUAAAUAGGCUAAAUUAUGUCAUAAAUGGACUAAAUAGGCUAAAUAAGAAGAAAAAUGCCAUUUUUGAGCUUACCUAGCUAAUUAUGCCAUUUUUGACCUAACUAAGCAUAUUAUGCCAUUUUUUAUAUAACUUAGAGCUAACUUCAUUUUGGAGAAGAAGAAGAAGAAGAAGAAGAAGAAAACUAGAAGAAGAAGGAGGAGGAGGAGGAGGAGGAGAAGAAGAAGACUAGAAGAAGAAGAAGAAGAAGAUCUUCUUCUUCUUCUAGUCUUCUUCUUCUUCUCCUUCGUCUUCUUCUUUUCUUCCUAUUCCUUCUUUCCUUCCUCUUCCAUGAUUUUCUUCAUCUUAUUAUGUCAUUUGUGGACUAAAUAGGCUCAAUUAUGUCAUAAAUGGACUAAACACGCUAAUUAAGAAGAAAAAUACCGUUAUCACGGAGGUGUAGGAAUGGUCGGGGAUGCGCCAGUGCCAGACGGAGGUGAAGGACCGGUCGGGGUUCCGGCAUUAUUGGCAGAAGGAGUGGUCGAUGCUUGUCGGGAGCCAUGUUGCACCAAAGAUCAUUUCCCAUAAUGUCUCGUUAGCAAGUUCGCAAACUGAAAUGUGAAUAGUAAUAAGCAACGACCAUUCAAAUCAAACUCACCGUGGUCGCCGGAGCAAUCUGGGGCAUCGGCGGAGGGGCCUGACCGUUUUUCUCGCACAAGCUCUGCACAUUUGGUUCUCACGAGUCAGUCAUAUUAGAUAGUAAUGCGAACAUUACGUGCAUGAUUGGGCUAAUAUGCACGAGAAACAUACCACGAUGAGCUCGUAUAGGGCCCGGUUAGCGUUGUCGUUCCGGUUCCUCUCCUCCUCCAACAGCUUAGCCGUCCUCUCCUCCAUCUCCCUCUCCCUCUCCGCCGCCUCCCUUUGUGCCUCCCUUUUUGCCUCCUCCACAAGCUCCUUCGUCUUCAAUCUCUCUUUCUCAACAAUAGCCUGCAACACACCACUCCUCGUUAGCAUUGUAAUCAUCGACGGACGCACACACAAUGUAAUGGAGGAAAGGUGAGAGAGUCCGUAUAACUUACCGCCAUGGCGAUCUCCGCGGGCCGUGCACGAGGCGUUAUCUCAGGAUCAGAGCUACUCAGGCGCUUCUUGAUCUGCGGGAGAGUCUUAGGACAACUUAUCAGUCCAUCACCAAUGGCUUGAGAUCCAUGGGACCUCCCGCCACCAGAUAUCAUCACCAGCUCUAUAUCAAAAGGAUCCUGGCUCGGGUUAAAGUCCUCCCCUUUCCUCGCCUUCCCCUCGUCUCUGUACUUCACAAGCUUGUGGUGGGAGGUCUUGUUGGUGAAGCUCUCUGGAUCAUCUAGGUCAGACUCCGUGAAUGGCUUGGCCUUCUUGUACGGGGCCAUAUGGGUCAUGCCAUAGAGGUCGAACAGACCUGGCACAGGCUUCUUGUGGUGGUGCGCCUGAGAGAGAGGAACAAAUAUUAGUUAAGGGCUCAAGCUAGCAUGAAGAAUGAUAUUGCUAUGUAAAUAGGUCAUUUUGGAGCUAAGAAAGGUUAUUAUGUCAUUUUCGAGGAAAAUAAGCUAAGUUUAGGUCAUUUUCGAGGUAACCAAGAUCGCCAUUUUUGACCAAAGUAUGCUAAUUAUGUCAUUAUUGAGCUAUCCAAGGUUAUUAUGUCAUUUUAGAGCUAACUAUAGCAUAUUAAGUCAUUUUAUAGAGCUAUCUAAGGUUAUUAUGUCAUUUUAGAGCUAAAUAUGUCAUAAAUGAACUAUCCAAGGUAGUUAUGCCAUUUUUUAACUAACUAAGCAUAUUAAUUAAGUCAUUUUGGAAGGGAUAAAUGCUAGCAUAAAGAAUGAAUUGCAUGAAUCAUGUAGCAAACCACAUACCCAGUUAUCCCCGUACUCAAACAGGUUGGAGCUCCCUUGAUGGUGUGGCACACCUUCCAUUUGGUCGCGCUUAUCCUUGGCCCUUUGGUGUUCGACUUUCCAUUGGGCAGAGCACCACGCAUCCACCAACGCCUCCCAACAGUCCAUCUUAUCCACACACCAUCUCGGGGGCACCUAAGUGAGUCAAGAGAAAUUUCAGCGCUACGCCUACGAAUCAAAUCAAGAAAACUAAGUUCAAGGCCUUAAGAAUAGGUAAUUACCUGCAUGUACUUCUCCUUACUCAGAAACUUGCCGCGACACUUCUGCUUGCCCCUCCUAAUACCCUUCGAGGCAUAGUAGUCUCGAACGGCCUGCACCUGAGCCUCGUGCCUUAAGUUCUGAAGUAGGCGCUUGCACUUGUUUUCAACAACCAUACACGCGGCCUCCUACUCUCCCUCUAAAACCCUGUAGAAGGUCUGCAAUCAAACAAGGCAACACUGAUUAGUACAAUCACUAGGUAGUGUUCAUUUUUAAUUCGGUAAAGGAGAAAUUACCCAAAACCGACGGAACACAAUGUCGGCCACCGUCUCGCACAAGACACCGUCGACCCUCUCUUUCGGCGGGGCCAGGGCAACCGAGUACAGCUCCCAGGUCAGUGCUAGUUGUGGAACCUGACCCUCACCGGGCAACGUGACCCACCCAGGGAAGUGCUGCCGGCAAAGCACACCAAGGACCUGGUUGGGCCUACAGGAACCACGGGGGCGUACCCAGCCCCUGCAGUAUGACAAGGCCAACGCAUUAGAAAUUAAUUUGAAGGAACAUGAAGGAAAAAGGUUAAAAAAUAGUAAAUGCACUUACUUCAACCCUUUAGGCGCAAUCAACCACCUCUGGUCGGGGGUCGUCGGCACGGGUGGGAGCUUUGUACAGCCACGCUUGUAGACCUUCUUGCCCUUCUCAACCAGCUCGUCGUCGCUGUAGCUAUCUUCUAAAAAGGUGUCCUCGGUACCAUCCUCCGAGCCACUAGCCUCCGGAGUCUCGUGGGCCGAAGACCCCGUGACCGGAGUCUUCUGGGACGAAGACCCCGUGACCGGAGUCUUCUGGGAUGAAGACCCCGUGACCGGAGUCUUCUGGGACGAAGACCCCGUGACCGGAGUCUUCUGAGACAAAGACUCUAGGACCGGACUCGUGUGGGGUGAAGGAUCGGCGACCUGAGUCUGGUGGGGGGAAGGAUCAGCAACCGGAGGCUCAUGGACCGGAGUCCGAGACGGGUCCACGUAAGACGGAGCAUUCCUGUGGUCGGGUGAAUCAGCUGAGGGUGGCGGCGAGGAAGGCUCCGCAGCCUUCCUACCUAUCCCGCUGCCACGUCCACCUCUACCAGCCUUCUUCGUCCUCCCCCGACCUCUCCCAGCCGUAGAAGAAGCGCCCGCCGCAGCUGUCUGCAUACUGUCCUGCACCGUUCUCCUGAGGGGAUGCGCUGCAAUAAUGGAACCACCCCUCCCAGUAGCGCUCGCAGGAGGCUCAGGGCGCUCUGGACCCUUGCCCACCAUCUUGUCAACACCUGCAAUGACAAAAAGUAAACGAAAUUAGUACAACAUAAAAAAAUUGGAUACCUGACAUGAACAUAAUAAUAUGUAUAUAAUUUAAGUGUAUCAUAAUCAUGACCAUAAAAAAAUACACCCGAUCAACACAAAUAUAUAUGGGGUCGGGGUGUGGUGUCAGGGUGUCAGGGUGUCCGGGUCGGGGUGUCGUGUCGGGGUAUCAGGGUCGGGGUCGGGGUGUGGUGUCAGGNNNNNNNNNNNNNNNNNNNNNNNNNNNNNNNNNNNNNNNNNNNNNNNNNNNNNNNNNNNNNNNNNNNNNNNNNNNNNNNNNNNNNNNNNNNNNNNNNNNNNNNNNNNNNNNNNNNNNNNNNNNNNNNNNNNNNNNNNNNNNNNNNNNNNNNNNNNNNNNNNNNNNNNNNNNNNNNNNNNNNNNNNNNNNNNNNNNNNNNNNNNNNNNNNNNNNNNNNNNNNNNNNNNNNNNNNNNNNNNNNNNNNNNNNNNNNNNNNNNNNNNNNNNNNNNNNNNNNNNNNNNNNNNNNNNNNNNNNNNNNNNNNNNNNNNNNNNNUCUUCUUCUUCUUUUUCCUCUCCUUCUUAUUUUCUUCAUUCUUCUUCUCCCUCCUCCUGUUCCUCCCUCCUCCUCCUCCUUCUACUCUUCUUCUUCUUCUAAACUAAAAUUAAUCUAAAAUAAACUAAACUAAAAUAAACUAAAACUAAAACUAAUCUAAAAUAAACUAAACUAAAACUAAAACAAAAACUAAACUGAUAAUAAAACUAAAGUAAAACUAUAACUAAAACAGAGACUAAACUAAAAUAAACAAAAAGAAACAAAUUAAACAAAAAAAGGGGAGGAGCACACCUGCAGGAGGAGGCGGCGACCCGGUGGAGGGGGAGGCCGGACAACCGCGGUGUCCGCUGGAGGAGGCGGCGACCCGGUGGAGGGGAGGCCGGAUGGCCGCGGAGGGACGGGGCGAGGACGGCGACGGGGCGGGGAAGGCCGUGGCGGGACUGGGCGGGGACGGCCGCGGCGUGGCUGGCCAACGUGGAAGGGGCGGCAGGGCCGUGGUNNNNNNNNNNNNNNNNNNNNNNNNNNNNNNNNNNNNNNNNNNNNNNNNNNNNNNNNNNNNNNNNNNNNNNNNNNNNNNNNNNNNNNNNNNNNNNNNNNNNNNNNNNNNNNNNNNNNNNNNNNNNNNNNNNNNNNNNNNNNNNNNNNNNNNNNNNNNNNNNNNNNNNNNNNNNNNNNNNNNNNNNNNNNNNNNNNNNNNNNNNNNNNNNNNNNNNNNNNNNNNNNNNNNNNNNNNNNNNNNNNNNNNNNNNNNNNNNNNNNNNNNNNNNNNNNNNNGGCGGCCGGCUACGGCAGACGGGGUCGGCGGCGGCGGUGUGGGUGUGGGUGGGGAGGAAUGAGGGAGUGGAGAGAAGAGAGGGGGGCGGGACGGCCGUUAACGUACCCGCCUCUUUGCCGUCAGCCAACGGUCGGCAAAGAGAUUGGACCGAUGGGCUUGAGUUGGUUAAACAAUAACUGGACCCACCCACCUCUUUGCCGUCUGCUAGCGGACGGCAAAGAUUCUUUGUCGUCAGCCAGCGGACGUCAAAGAACUGGCUGAUGGCAAAGACUUUGUUUGCCAUCAGCCACAUCUUUGACGUCCGUUUCCUUGUGGCUGACGGCAAAGACCUUCUUUGCCAUCAGCAAGCGGACGGCAAAGAAGUGGAUUCCAGUAGUGUUCCAUCAUUGCUAGCCUCUUUGGUACCGUGCAUUUCCCUUUCUCACCUUGAGAGUUGGUGCAAACUUCGUCGGUGCAUCCAAACCCCGUGAUAUGAUACGCUCUAUCACACAUAAACCUCCUUAUAUCUUCCUCAAAACAGCCACUAUACCUACCUAUUAUGGCAUUUCCAUAGCCAUUCUCAGAUAUAUUGCCUUGCAUGAUCAUGUAGUUGACAUCGUAUUUGUCGCAAAGCCACCAUGCAUAAUUAUCAUACAUGUCACUCUUGAUUCAUUGCCCAUCCCGGUACACCGCCGGAGGCAUUCAUAUAGAGUCAUAUUUUGUUCUAGUAUUGAGUUGUAAUCUUUGAGUUGUAAAUAAAUAGAAGUGUGACGAUCAUCACUAAUAGAGCAUUGUCCCAAAAAAAGAAAAAAAGAAAAGAAGAAAGGCCAAAAAAAGAAAGGCCAGAUAGAAAAGAGAAAGAAUAAAAGGGACAAUGCUACUAUCCAUUUUUUCACACUUGUCCUUCAAAGUAGCACCAUGAUCUUCAUGAUAGAGAGUCUCGUAUAUUGUCACUUUCAAAUACUAGUGGGAAUUUUUCAUUAUAGAACUUGGCUUGUAUAUUCCAACAAUGGGCUUCCUCAAAUGCCCUAGGUCUUCAUAAGCAAGCAAGUUGGAUGCACCCCCACUUAGUUUCUUUUGUUGAGCUUUCAUACAUUUAUAGCUCUAGUGCAUCCGUUGCAAGGCAAUCCCUACUCCUUGCAUUGACAUCAAUUGAUGGGCAUCUCCCUAGCCCGUUGAUUAGCCGCGUCAAUGUGAGACUUUCUCCUUUUUUGUCUUCUCCACACAACCCUCAUCAUUAUAUUCUAUCCCACCCAUAGUGCUAUGUCCAUGGCUCACGUUCAUGUAUUGCGUGAAAGUUGAAAAUUUUUGAAAAAAUUAAAGUAUGAAACAAUUGCUUGGCUGAAACCGGGGUUGUGCAUGAUUUGAGUAUUUUGUGUGACGAAGUUGGAGCAUAACCAAACUGUAUGAUUUUGUAGGGAUGAACUUUCUUUGGCCAUGUUAUUUUGAGAAGACAUAAUUGCCUUGUUAGUAUGCUUGAAGUAUUAUUAUUUUUAUGUCAAUAUUAAGCUUGGGGAUGCUUGAUACGUCUCCAAUGUAUCUAUAAUUUUUGAUUAUUCCAUGCUAUUAUAUUAUCCAUCUAGAAUGUUUUAUAUGCAUUUAUAUGCUAUUUUAUAUGAUUUUUGGGACUAACCUAUUAACCUAGAGCCCAGUGCCAGUUUCUGUUUUUCCUUGUUUUUGAGUAUCACAGAAAAGGAAUACCAAACGGAGUCCAAUUGACGUGCCAAUUUUUGAUGAUUUUUUAUGGACCAAAAGAAGCCCCCGGAGUGAAAGAGUUGGGCCAGAAGAGUCCCGGGCUGUCCACGAGGGUGGGGGCGCGCCCACCCCCUGGUCAUGGGCCCCUAUCUCGUGGACGACUCGGAGACCCCCUGACGUGAGACCUACGCCAAAAAGUCCUAUAAAUACAGAAACCUCCAGAAAAUAACCUAGAUCGGGAGUUCCGCCACCGCAAGCCUCCAGAGCCACGAAAAACCAAUCGGGACCCUGUUCCGGCACCCUGCCGGAGGGGGCGAUCCCUUACUGGUGGCCAUCUUCAUCAUCCCGGCGCUCUCCAUGACGAGGAGGGAGUAGUUCACCCUCGGGGCUGAGGGUAUGUACCAGUAGCUAUGUGUUUGAUCUCUCUCUCUCGUGUUCUUGAUUUGGCACGAUCUUGAUGUAUCGCGAGCUUUGCUAUUAUAGUUGGAUCUUAUGAUGUUUCUCCCCAUCUACUCUCUUGUAAUGGAUUGAGUUUUCCCUUUGAACUUAUCUUAUCGGAUUGAGUCUUUAAGGAUUUGAGAACACUUGAUGUAUGUCUUGCAUGUGCUUAUCUGUAGUGACAAUGGGAUAUUCACGUGAUCUACUUGAUGUAUGUUUUGGUGAUCAACUUGCGGGUUCAGUGACCUUGUGAACUUAUGCAUAGGGGUUGGCACACGUUUUCUUCUUGACUCUCCGGUAGAAACUUUGGGGCACUCUUUGAAGUUCUUUGUGUUGGUUGAAUAGAUGAAUCUGAGAUUGUGUGAUGCAUAUCGUAUAAUCAUACCCGCGGAUACUUGAGGUGACAUUGGAGUAUCUAGGUGACAUUAGGGUUUUGGUUGAUUUGUGUCUUAAGGUGUUAUUCUAGUACGAACUCUAUGAUAGAUCGAACGAAAAGAAUAGCUUCGUGUUAUUUUACUACGGACUCUUGAAUAGAUGGAUCAGAAAGGAUAACUUUGAGGUGGUUUCGUACCCUACAAUAAUCUCUUCGUUUGUUCUCCGCUAUUAGUGACUUUGGAGUGACUCUUUGUUGCAUGUUGAGAGAUAGUUAUAUGAUCCAAUUAUGUUAUUAUUGUUGAGAGAACUUGCACUAGUGAAAGUAUAAACCCUAGGCCUUGUUUCCUAGCAUUGCAAUACCGUUUACACUCACUUUUACCACUUGUUACCUUGCUGUUUUUAAAUUUUAAGAUUACAAAUACUCAUAUCUAUCAUCCAUAUUGCACUUGUAUCACCAUCUCUUCGCCGAACUAGUGCACCUAUACAGUUUACCAUUGUAUUGGGUGUGUUGGGGACACAAGAGACUCUUUGUUAUUUGGUUGCAGGGUUGUUUGAGAGAGACCAUCUUCAUCCUACAGCUCCCACGGGUUGAUAAACCUUAGGUCAUCCACUUGAGGGAAAUUUUCUACUAUCCUACAAACCUCUGCACUUGGAGGCCCAAUAAUGUCUACAAGAAGAAGGUUGCGUAGUAGACAUCAAGGCGCGCAUACCCCCCUGGGCGCGCCCUCCUGCCUCGUGGCCGCCUCGUUGCUUCCUUGACGUCCACUCCAAGCCUCCUGGAUUGCGUUUGUUCCAAAAAUGAUCCUCGCGAAGGUUUCAUUCCAUUUGGAUUCCAUUUGAUAUUCCUUUUCUGUGAAACACUGAAAUAGGCAAAAAAACAGCAAUUUGCACUAGGCCUUCGGUUAAUAGGUUAGUCCCAAAAAUAAUAUAAAAGUGCAUAUUAAAUCUCAUUAAACAUCCAAAACAGGUAAUAUAAUUGCAUGAAACAAUCAAAAAUUAUAGAUACGUUGGAGACGUAUCACAGGCUGACCAAUAUGGGCAAGGGUUGGAGUUUAUAUGAUUGGAGGGAACACAACAUUCAAUGGGUACACAAGUGGGAAAAUGAAGCGCUAGCAGAUAUAGUGCAUCAACUUAGGUACAUUUUAUUUACAUUAUUUUAUUACGAUGACCAUACGAUGCGUGAAGAUGCUUUGCUUUCAUCACAACGGUUUAUGUAAUUAUUUAAUUUUGCAAACCGUACGAUGGAAGUACAGAUCAAGCGUAUAAGCAGUGGUACUGCAUUAGCACACGUACUAGCCUGGCCAGUCAACCGGCUACGAUACCAACACAUCUCACACAGGAGGAGAAGAUGCAGAGACAUAUUGAGCUGCAUGCAGCUUACUAUCGUGACCAGAUGGUAAUCACUUGUAAAAAAUUUAGGUCCAUCAUUGCAUAAUCAUUUCAACUAAAUAACAUACAAAUAUUGUUCAGCUUGAAACUUGCAACGAAGUAGGGCAGAUGGCUGCAGAAAGCAUGCCGGCCCGGGGCCCAGCUCGCAAGUCAUUCCAGAAACGUUUUGCCCACUACGUGGCAACAAAGUUCAGAUGCGGUAGAGGCGACGACAUUGUCACUAGAGCGUACAACAUGCCGGUAGCGAGGUCAGCCAGACCGAGUGCGGCGCCGUCGUCCAGACCGAGCGAGGCGCGUACAAGCCAUGGGCAGUGGGGGGAGGGUCCGAGUACUACAACAACAUUGCCACGACAUGACUCAUCUCUGCCACUGCAUCGCUCUUCUUCGGUGCAUUUUCGUCAGGGGCAGACAUCUCAAGACCAUGGCACGGGCUAGGAUUCGAUGCCCGAGCAGACUCUUUCCCCAAACCCAUAUGCGUACACAGGAUAUGGCGCAUACACCCAAGGCGAGGGAUCUCAGUCGUAUCUCUCCACGCGAGGGAUCUCCAUGCCCGACGAGACUCGUGUCCCAGAUUUAAACCAGUACCACGUACAAUGGCCAGACAGUACAGGCGAGGGAUUUGAUCAGGUAGUCAUGUUUAUAUUUUAAUGCAUUUACAAUGAUAUCAUAUAUUAUCCUCUAACAGUUUGUUUACAAUGUUUCUAUGUGCAUGACAUACCUGAUGUUAAUUGGGACGAUGAGGACACCCAAUGUGGCCUCAACACACGCAUCCGGGGAGCAUCACAUGAUCAUGGCGACACCGUUACAUCAUUAGUUACAGAGUUCUUCAGAGGGGACGUUAUUGGCCCAUCUUUUAUCCCCGAGGAGUCACAAGCAUACGCCUACAAUUACGCUUCAGGUUCGCAACAAGGAUUCCAGACUCCACCACCUACGCAGGAGUCGCAGACACAUGAAGCCGAAGUGGAGUAUGGCCGCGGUCUUCGUGUAACUCAACCACCUAAUCACUUGUCGCUUUCCGGUCCUAAGGAAAGGCCAGGUGGUCGUCGUCGACUAGGGUAAUUCAUCUAUCCACGUGUGCGACCCAUUGUAUCUACAUAUGUUAGUAUCAGACUUUCCCAUUUAAACAUCUAUGUAUGCUGAAAUAAAAAUGCACCACUCAGAAACAAUGUUUCCCGCCUAUAUCUCCCGCCAUACUAUCCCGCUUCACUCUUUGGCUUAUGUUAGGCCGAAAUGAUUUUUUUAAUUUUGGCUUAUGAAUACUGUGCAACCAUUGCCCAUCUUAGACAUUGAAAAAAAAUCCGCGCAACCCUUUCCCCUAAAUAUUUUCCCGCCAACUCUUUCCCUCCAUAUGUUCCCACCACCCGUUUCCCGCCAACCCCUUCCCGCCAUAUCUUCCUGCCACCCGUUUCCCGCCAUAUGUUCCCGCCAAUCCUUUCCCGCCAUACCACAGUCGUUCUUUCCCGCCAUUUUCUCCUCUCUACCUAUAAAACCCCCUUCACACAGAGGUGGAUAAGCAUUCCAGUGUAGUAUAGUCGAGAUGUCCCAUUAUCCUUUCGAUCGUAGUUUUCACCCUGGGAUGAGCAGAUCUCUUUUGAGGCUAGCCACCGAUUUCAGGAUGGACAAUAGGAUAGUUCCAUGGGACGAACUCACCGGUAGUGACACCAUAAUGAAUGAGUUGGCUCACAAAGUACGUAGAUCUGGGUGGCCUGAAAGGACCUAUGAGGAGGCACGUAAAGAACUUCUUAGGUUGCAUGCAAGGUGGAAGAAGGUAGUGGAGCCGAAGAGUGAAACUUUCAGAAGGACUGCAGCAAAGCAUCCAUUGUUAUGGACUGACGACAAUGAGGACGAAGAUGAUAUCUUCAUGCCGCCGCUUCCGGGUUCUGCAUCGUCAAAGGGCAAGAGUUCUGCAUCGUCCAAGGGCAAGAGUACUCCAUCCUCAAAGGGCAAGAGUUCUGCAUCGUCCAAGGGUAAGAGUUCUGCAUCCUCGAAGGGCAAGAGUUCUACAUCGACGGAGGAUGACGAUGAUGCCUUCAUGUAGUUUUUAAGUUGUAUUCCAGUUCUACCGUUUAAUUCAGAUGUACUUGCAUUAUGUUAUAUCUUAAUUUCAUUUUGUAGUUGUACUCUCUUAUUGUAGGGCAUUAUGUUCUAUCUUAAUUUCAUUUUGUAGUUGUUGCACGAUGUUCGAUAAUUAGUGGAGGAAAGAAAAUGCCACAUUUUAUUCUAAAACUAUUGAAAUACGAUACAUCGUACUAUUGAAAUAAAGCUACAUUUAACUACUGAAAUAAAGCUACAUUAAACUGCAGAAAUUAAGAUACAAGCGAUUGCGAAAUUUAAAAUACUACCAGCAUGGAUAUUUUCCUUUUCCAUCGCCAGCUUCUUCUGCUGCCUUGGCCUCACGAGCCCUUUCUUUCUUUCUCUGUCUCUCCACCUCACGAGCCCCCUUUCGCUGCCGUUCCUGCUCCUCCAUGCGACGAGCCUCUUCCCUGUUUUUCUUUCCUAAAUCCUGAAAAAAAUGGUGUUGCUCCGCAUAGUAUUCUUUUAACUCUCUCUCUUGCUCUGCUUUCUCCUCAGCUUCCGCCUUCUCGCGUCGCUCUUCCGCAUAGAAACUUUUCCACGCAUGGCGACUUCUUUCAAGAAUCUCAGUCACUGCCCAAGCCGGCAUCUCUGUGUCAAUCCAAUGAUAGUACAUGCACAGAGGCGGAGGAGACUACAACAAGAAACAAGAAUGUUAUUAAAGAAUCAAUCAAAAUACCAACAAUAUCUAUUCGUGAUGGUUAAAGCAUGCCGGAGGCUUGUCGUACUCUGAAAUAGCUACCGGUGGAUCUUCCUCAUAAUUGGCGCGCAUGAAAAACUUCAUGCCCAACCAAUCUGAAAAAUCUGUCACCUCCUUCACCUUGCAAAGAUCGCCACACCAACACCGCAGGACUGCCACCCCCGGAGGCAAACUUGCAUUCUUCAUUUUCCUCGGCCUAAUGCUUUGAUCCGAGCAAGGCAAACUCAUACCGACUGAAAAAAUGUGUUACACACUUUGCGCACUGGCGAUUUCGAGAAUGGCUGGACGAGGAUGACGAGAGCCUCGGUGUCUCCUUUUAUAGGCUUAGACGACAAAUGAUGGCGAGAAAAUAAGCGCGAACAGACGAAAUUAGACGGGAAAUUUUAGGAUCCCUGUAGUGUCGGCACAACAGGUUCCCGCAGCAUCGGAUUCCCGCAGCGAGUGACCGAUUCCCGCAGUGUCGUCGCAUCCGCUCAAGCAAUAGCCAGAGCGAUUCUCGCAGUGCCGUCGCAUCUGCUGAGGCAAAAGAAGCAAAAGCAGGACUGAUUCCCGGGCGAAAGAACCAAAAGCAGGGAGUGAGUUUAUCCUGUAGUCCAUAUUCCCGCGCGUGGGAAUCACCGUUGUCAGCGUCGCUGUCGCGCCUGGGAAUCAGGGCCGUCAGCGUUCGUUGUCGCGCGUGUAGCAGAUAUGCCGCCUCACGUAGUGGCGGCGUGGCCCACCGGCUAGGCCCGCGAGCAGCAGGGCUUGUCGGCCUACGAGCGGCAGGAGUAGCGUCGGCCGCCUCGUCUUGUGGCGGCAGGGCCCACUAGGCCCGCCCCGUUCCGUCCCGGCACGAGGAACUGUAGUAAACAUGUUCUGCCCCGGUGGCCGCCUCCAGGCGUGGCGGCAGGUGCCACGUGUCGCCUGCCGCGCCUGCCGCCACGGCCGAGGGGUUCCUUUUUGUCAAUUAUAUCCACGGAUAGUCCUUUUUGACAAUUUUGUUGGCCAGGGGGUCCUUUUGGACAAAAAACACAAGUGUCCUACUUGGACACGACUCCAUAUCCUAUUUAAACACAAUACAACUACAAGUCCAACUGUAACCUACCUUGCACACAAUAUUCGACACAACUCUAACAGACAUGACCCAUAAAUUUAGCUCACCCUAUCUGCAUUACUAUUCUGUACUCUGCAUCUAUGAACAAAUGCAGAGUUCAUGUGGGCAGAUCGCCCUCCGUUUUACUUCUUCUUUUGGUGUGAAAUGCCAAUGUCCUCAUUUUCUUCUGUCGAUCGAUCCAUGCCCGGCGCCCACAGGAUUACAGAUUUAUUGUGCCUACGGACCAACUCAAGUUUUCUGUUCAUUGACUGUGGAAGAUACAAGUGGAAACAACAACCACAAGAUGUUGCUUUACUGUGGUUUGUAGUUCCAGAUUUAUUCACUGGAGUCUCUGCAACAGGUCUUAUCAACAUCAAUCAUCUCAUCUCACCACUGAUUAUUGCACAGCUUAAUUGUAGUUCUGAUCCAUUAAUUCACCCAAUUCAGUCAUAUUUGCAUUCCUUCCUUCAUUUGUAAAUUGUACACAUGCACUUGUAAAUUGCCUAGGUUGUGUAUAUGUGCUCUAACUGAAUUUAUAUCUAUAUAUAUGUGCUCUAACUGAAUUUUAAUCAUUCCACCUUAGGUAUAUGUAUAUGUGUUCAGUUUGAACCUUACUGUAUGACUUUUUGAGUAAGCAAAACAGAGCAUUUCCUUUGCAGGAGAAAAAAAGAUUAAUUAAUCUUCAGUGAGAGUAUUUACUUCAAGUGCUUCAUGUUAACACAAAUAUUCAGUUUCAACUAUAUUUACUUCAUGUUAACACAAUCAGACUUGACUUAGUGUAAAUCUUGAUCAGUGAAUAGCAGAAGAAUAUACAUCAUGUUAACUACAGCACAAUAUUCAGUUUCCACUAUAUCACUGAGUUUUAAUCUAACUGAAUUUUCAGAUGCACACACAGCUAACUGAAUUUAGCUGUCAAUAGCAGUCAAGUCAUCACACACACACACACACACACACACACACACACACACACAACUAACUGAAUUUUAACAGUAUAUCCUCAGGUGUGCAAAGUCACCAAGAGUUGUGAAUUUAAGUUGGAGACAACAUUUAAGUUACAAAUCCUAGUACUCCUUGUGCAAAGUCACCUUGUUAGUUCUGAAUCAGUGACAAAUCCUAGUACUCCUUGUUCUCAGACUGUAUAUGUUGAUCAGUGGUUAUUUGUACAGCACAGGAAAGAGAUGUUCUCAGACUGAAUUUGACCGAGCACUUUUGCACCAACAGUAUAGUGAUGCUUGUAAGGAAAAAACUUGCUGCACAAAUUUGGUUCUGAGUUUGUACCGACAGUUAACUGAAUUUGACUGAAUAUUUACCAACAGCUGCACAAACUUGUCUGCAGUUUUGGUGCUGCACAAACUUGGGGCUGCACUUUCGAACCAAAUUUGACUGCGCACUUACUGUACACUGUUAACUGAAUUUGAUAACAUAUAACGUGUGAGAACAGCUAAAAUAUCGUGUGAAUUGAAGAGCUGUUGUCUGUUAACUGAAUUUGACUGAGCACUUUCCAAACUCUGGAGCUGUUCUCUGUUAACUGAAUUUGAUUUGACCGAGUACUUUCCAAAAGCCGGUUCUGAGUUUCUGCACAAAUCUACGCACAACAGGCUGCUACAAUGAAAUUGAUUGAACUGAACCUAUCUUGAUUGAACUGCAAAAAAUUUCGAACUGUCAGGAUCAGUAGGAGCUCGUAGAAGCAGAGAUGAGGGCGGGGAUCAGAGGUGGGGGCAGCCGCCAGCUAGCAGCAGAGAUGGGGGCGGGGAUCGGGGGGUGUCGGCGUCGCCCACCACCAGCACCACUGGCAGCAAAGGCGUCGCCCACCACCACCACCACGAGCAGCCGGCGGCCGAAGCGGACCAGCGCGGCGGCCGAAGUGGACCUGCGCGGCGACCAGCGCUGCGGCGGUGGGCGGCGGAAUCGGGGACGAAGUGGACGAGCGCGCCGGCAGUGGGCGCCGGAAUCGGUGGUGGAGGUACCGCUCGUGGGCGGGCGGUGGAGGUCCUCCUCGUUGGCGGCGCAGGGCCUGUUCGUUGGUGGCCUCCUGGGCGGGCUCUUCGGUGAUGCAGGACCUGCUCAGGCGACGGGCGGCUGGCUGUGGUGACGCGCGGGCGACGGCCGGAGGAGAAAGGAGACUGGGCUUUAUCAGAGCUUUGAAAGUAGUACAAGGUUUUUUUUUUUUGCAAAAACACCAUUGUACUGCGCGGGCGAUCAGAAUUUCAGGACGGAGGGAGUACGAUCCAGCGAUAUCCAUUGUGGGUGACACACAAAUCUUUUUUUUCUUUUUUCUUUUUUUGACAGCAGACACACAAAAUAAAAAAGGGUUUUUAUCAGUUUUGCCAUCGGUUGUACUACACUACUCAGUUAUGCCACUGUCAAUGGACGUUGACCAUGUUAUAUGACUAUAAUGCCCCUGGGCUCAUUUGCAAGAUCUCUCUCCAUGAUGUGGGCCCAAUUUGUCAAGGAUGGGAAAAUAAAUUAGGAGGAAAAAGAGCGACUAGGUGGAUCGAACCAGAGACGUAAGUGUGGUGAGCGGGCAAGCUAACCACCACACCCGAUGAAAGCAUUUGUUUGACAAGCAGAUGUACUUAGCCUUAUCCAAUACUUAACAUGCUCGUAUCAGUUUUCCAAGCCGGAACCGCAAUUCCUAGCCGCCGCCUGCCGAUGCUCAACUGCAACCGCCGGUCGCCAUGAAGGAAAUAUGCCCUAGAGACAAUAAUAAAGUAUUAUAUAUUUCCUUAUAUCAUGAUAAAUAUUUAUUAUUCAUGCUAGAAUUGUAUUAACCGGAAACAUAAUACAUGUGUGAAUACAUAGACAAACAGAGUGUCACUAGUAUGCCUCUACUUGACUAGCUCGUUAAUCAAAGAUGGUUAUGUUUCCUAGCCAUAGACAUGAGUUGUCAUUUGAUUUACGGGAUCACCUCAUUAGGAGAAUGACGUGAUUGACUUGACCCAUUCCGUUAGCUUAGCACCCGAUCGUUUAGUAUGUUGCUAUUGCUUUCUUCAUGACUUAUACAUGUUCCUAUGACUAUGAGAUUAUGCAACUCCCGUUUACCGGAGGAACACUUUGUGUGCUACCAAAUGUCACAACGUAAAUGGGUGAUUAUAAAGGUGCUCUACAGGUGUCUCCAAAGGUACUUGUUGGGUUGGCAUAUUUCGAUAUUAGGAUUUGUCACUCCGAUUGUCGGAGAGGUAUCUCUGGGCCCACUCGGUAAUGCACAUCACUAUAAGCCUUGCAAGCAUUGUGACUAAUGAGAUAGUUGCGGGAUGAUGUAUUACGGAACGAGUAAAGAGACUUGCCGGUAACGAGAUUGAACUAGGUAUCGAGAUACCGACGAUCGAAUCUCGGGCAAGUAACAUACCGAUGACAAAGGGAACAACGUAUGUUGUUAUGCGGUUUGACCGAUAAAGAUCUUCGUAGAAUAUGUGGGAACCAAUAUGAGCAUCCAGGUUCCGCUAUUGGUUAUUGACCAGAGAGGUGUCUCGGUCAUGUCUACAUAGUUCUCGAACCCGAAGGGUCCGCACGCUUAACGUUACGAUGAUAGUUAUAUUAUGAGUUUAUAUGUUUUGAUGUACCGAAGGUUGUUCGGAGUCCCGGAUAUGAUCACGGACAUGACGAGGAGUCUCGAAAUGGUCGAGACAUAAAGAUUGAUAUAUUGGACGACUAUAUUCGGACACCGGAAGUGUUCCGGAGAAGUUUCGGAUUAAACCGGAGUGCCGGAGGGUUACCGGAACCCCCGGGGAAGUAUUGGGCCUUAGUGGGCCUUGAGGGGAGAGAGAGGGCAGCAGCCAGGAGGUGGUGCGCCCCCUCCCAGGAGGAAUCCUAGUUGGACUAGGAGAGGGGGGCGCAGCCCCCUUUCCCUCUCCCUCUCCCUCUCUUUCCUUCCCCCCUUCUUUUCCUAGUUGGACUAGGAAAGGGGAGUCCUACUCCUACUAGGAGGAGGACUCCCCCCCUCUCCUUGGCGCGCCUAGGGCAGCCGGCUUCCCCCUUGCUCCUUUAUAUACGGGGGCAGGGGGCACCUCUAGACACACUUGAUAUACGAUAUUUUAGCCGUGUGCGGUGCCCCCCUCCACCAUAUUACACCUCGAUAAUACCGUUGCGGAGCUUAGGCGAAGCCCUGCGUCGGUGGAACAUCAUCAUCGUCACCACGCCGUCGUGCUGACGAAACUCUCCCUCAACAUUCGGCUGGAUCGGAGUUCGAGGGACGUCAUCGAGCUGAACGUGUGUAGAACUCGGAGGUGCCGUGCGUUCGGUACUUGAUCGGUCGGAUCGUGAAGACGUACGACUACAUCAACCGCGUUGUGAUAACGCUUCCGCUGUCGGUCUACGAGGGUACGUGGACAACACUCUCCCGUCUCGUUGCUAUGCAUCACCAUGAUCUUGCGUGUGCGUAGGAAAUUUUUUGAAAUUACUGCGUUACCCAACACGCCAGGCUGCCCGCCCAGCUCCGGCGCGCCUCCACUCGCCGUCGCCGUCGCGCUGCCCGCCCAGCGCCGCCCUCGUCACGGCUUCGGCGCUGCCUCCCGCCCAGCACCGCCACUCGAGGCAGGCAGCUCCGGCACUUCUCCCGCCUGACUCUGCGGCUCCUCCCAAGUCCAGCUCCGCCACCUCCCGUGAUUCCUUGAAGUGAUUUGUUCCAUGGCAAUGGCGACGGACAACCGUCCUGAAUCGGAGAAGUGCGUCGGCCACCGGACGCCCCAACAUGUUGUAGCCUCUGAAAUUCCGGCAGGGUGAGUAUGUUAAUUCUUAGUGUGGUGCGUGUGUGGCUCAUAGUAGCUUGUAGAGAUGGAAUUUCUUGUGUAGAAUUUGUAGUAGCUGAUUGGUGCCUUGAUACUCGUGUGCAAUUUGGUACAUGUGUUCUGAUGGUCAGGAUGGCUAUGGAAUUAUGGAUACUAGAAGUAAAAAAAGGCUGCACCUGUGAAGUUUGUAACCUUGCUGCGUUUGUGUUGUUUUCAGAAAAAUGGGCAGGCACCAUGCUGAAAUUUUCAGAGAAAUUUAGAAAAUCAUGUGCUCCUGCUAUCAUAUUUGUUGUUGCUGUCAAUUAGUGUGUGAUGCAUGAAUUAGCUAGCUGGAUAAAUGGAGUAGUGAGCAACAAGAAACGAUAUUAUAUACUUUUGAAUAUUAUAUUUACCUAAAGGAUAUAGGAUAUACGUUUCCUUAUAUAUCAAAACUUUCCCUUAGCUCAACUGGUUAGCAUGCGCGCUUGUUUGGGUUGUGGUCUUGGGUUCGAAAUCUCUUGGCUCCAAUUUUUGUCUUUUAUUUUCAUGCUCGCCUUACAGGUGGGUUGUGGUCUUGGGUUCGAAAUCUCUUGACUCCAAUUUUUGUCUUUUAUUUUCAUGCUCGCCUUACAGGUGGGCCCACAGCUCAAACAAAGGGAGGAUAGUUGACAAACGGGAUAGGGGUAUUUUCGUCAUCUACCUUUGGUCAACGUCCAUUGACCUGACGGUAACGGCGAAAAAAUAGUUUUUUUGAGCACGCGCCUAACGGAACAGUGGUAUUUCUGAGCAGUGAAAAAAUUUAGUGGCAGAACUGAGUAGUGUAGUAUGACCGAUGGUAAAACUGAUAAAAACCCAUCAAAAUAAACUCCAAAAAAAUAUAUGCAUUAAAGUACUUGUGUUCCAUGUGUUCCAACAUGCUUGAUCGAUGGAACCUCCCAUGGUUAGCUUAAGUUGUGUGACAAUGUGCUUAAAUUAGGAGCGAAUAUCUUUCAGGAGGUGCUAACUUUUCUUGAUGGCCACGUGCUGCUACCCAAGUAGAUGCACAAUCUCACCACUCAUGCGCACACAAAAAACCAAUACUAGUACUUCCUCCGUAAAAAUAUACGAGAGCGUUUAGAGCCUCUACAGCCGGAUUUGACAAAUUCGGCACCUCAAACACCCGCGGAUGCGUCCGGGCACGUCCGCAGACGCAUCCGGACGGGUCCUCACAUUUCGUUUCAGGCAUCCAUAUAUUUUAAAUCCAGACUCUCAAAUCCAUGCAAAUACAUACACGUCGAUCAUGCAACACAAUGUCGCACAUAAAUAGCUGUUUUUGGUAUCAAGCAUACAUAGUGUUUACAUAAAAUUUAUUUGAAAUGCCAAACUCAAGCAUUGCCUCCUUGGUUGCCAUUGUGGAUCCACAUGGCUCCACAAGAUCAUUGAGUAGUUGCAUAUGCACCUGCUGAUCUCGAAGAUUUUGAUGCAUCUGCAGAAAGUUCAUAAGCUGAGCCGAAUCUUGAUCUUCCGGGAUUUCAACUUGUUCUCCGGGUGCUUCGAAAUCAUGAAUGGGAGCAAAGUAGUCAUUCUGCGGUAGCUUUGCUCCGGACACCCUGUCCCGGUUGAUCACUCUUCUUCCUUUGAUUGAGCCCUUGAAGUUGAGAAUAUGCUCCACUUGCCGGUCCAUUUCCUCUCGCAUGCUCAUGAGCAUGAUCAUGUCCACUUCUUCGUUCGAAUCCGACGAAUCGAAGAACUCAUCUUGAAUCAGUUGGUCAAGCUCCGUCGGUCCAUACUCCUCAUCUGACGAAGCAUCGAAAUCCAUCAUUUACCUAACAAAAAUCACAAUAAUUUCGGUCGGUCAAUGUGUCGAACACACCAAGCGCAAGGCGGAGCCAGAGAGUUGCCGGACGUACCACGGUGGCGUCCGGGCCGGCGACGACGUCCUCCGGGGCGAGGACGGGAGCGCUCUUCCGGAGCUGGCGGCGGAGAGCCUUGGAACGGCCACGGAGCGGCCGCGGCGGCGGAGCUGCGAGCCGGACGGCAUGGAGGAGGAAGAAGAGAGGAGAGAACAAAUGGAUCCGGCAGCUCAGGGGGUGGAUUUGGUGCAAUUUGGGGUGGGGUCGGGCUAUCGGGUCCGACCUAGCGGGCGCGCCCAGGCGCCCCAUAUCCGCCCCAUAUUUGGGCUACAUAUGGGGGUGCCGGUCAGCCCAUGAGGGUUUAGGGUUUACGGCUGUUUUAGGGGCCCAUCUGGGUCCAAAUUUCGUGACCGGUCAGUGACCGGGCUGCCUGGCCGGGCAUUUGAGACGGAUUUGAAGGGUCCGGUUGUAAAUUCUCUUAGAUUACCACGGAGGGAGUACUACAUAGCACACCAUAACCCAUAAUCCUUUUUUUCUACUGCAACAAGUUUUGCCCGGUUUCGGUGAGGGAGAUGCAAUGACAGCGAAGCGUCUUUGACUCGCUUCAGUGCUUACAGUCGUCGCUAGGUGGUCUACGGAUAUGGAUGUAAUUUUUAUUAUUUCUGAUGUUCUUUAUACUUGAAAAUAAAUAUAUCAAAAGUUUCUCGUAAAAUAAUGGCGAAAAGCACAGGCGAUGGGCUCGAGUGGUGCCCAUCACGUGUGAUAUAACUCCAGUAGGGUUUGAAAAUGUACCUACCACUAGUGAUACGCCUAAACCAUCGACGGGUAACGGACGGGCGGUAAUUUAGUUGCCAAAGAUCACACGUGCUGGUUAAUCGAGUUAAUUACAAGAACCCAUCAUCCUAAAGACUAGUACUCCCUCCGUAAAAAAAAUAUAAGCAUUUAGAUAACUAAAUUAAUGAUCUAAACGCUCUUAUAUUUCUUUACAAAGGGAGUAGAUCCGUAGGAAACAUGGUUCUAUAUAUUUUUGGCUGAAAACACACGUACUGUCCAUGAUAAACCUUUCACAUAUGACACUGGUCGGCGGUUAGCAUGUCUGGAUGACCCAACCGACAGAUGAGGCCCACUUGUCAGGAGUUGACUUUGCAAAAAAAAAACAUGUGUGCAUGUUAACACUUCAUAGAUAUAACGGGGCGACAUGGGGGCGAGCCGCCCAACCCGCUCAGCUCAGACCGCUCCUGUCCACAGUCGCGCUGCCGCCGGAGGACGCUGCCGGGUGAAGCCCGCGCGGCCGACGGCGGCGGCAGGGCGCUUCCUCGUAGCUGCUUCAAUCUGGGGGCGCCAGAUCCUGGUGGUGCGAGUUCUUGCGCGGGAAGGCGGCGACGGAUCUGCAUCUGGCAACGACGCUCGGGGCUGCACAUGGAGCGGACGAUGGCGGCUGGCUGCCUAGCGCAUGCAGCGGACGACAGCGGCCUGCGAUGCGGUGGUUGGCUCCCUUGGUUGCACUUGCACGGGGUGGCUACUCUUCUAUGGUGGUGCCUUCGUUGUUCGUUCAAGGAGGUCGUCGUACAACAGCGACGUCAGCACGGCGGUCGGAUGUUGCCGGACUGCCAGCAGCCUUGGGGUCGUCCAUGAUCAACCCAGCGUCGUUGCCCUGAUUCAGAUCUAAACGGAGGUGAUCUAGAUCUGGUCGGCCAAGAUGGUGGUAGCUACAGACUAUGCUGCAGUGACCUCCUGCGGCUCCACGAUGACGGUGGUCACCAAAAGGUUUUCGAGAUGGUUCAUCCUUCCAGAUCAAAUGGUGGACUACUGCAGUGAGAUGCAAACUACGGACAAAGGCUUGAUGCAGAGGGAUGGUUGUGCAGCGGCAGAGGUCUCUCAUCGCAUGUAGCUGCUGGGAUCGUGGAAAAAUGGUCACGACAACACAAGUGUGACUUCGAUGGCGCCACGUGCAUCCGGUCUUGAGCUUCGGGGCGAACGCCUAGGUCUUGAAUCCCUUGCAACGGCGAUGGUUUUUGUCGUUACCUUGUUGAAGGCAUUGUUCGGCAUGCUCGUACUAACUCUUCCGGGUGAAAACCUAGAUUCUAGCCUUGUUAGUUGGAUCCAGUGAUGGCGACUUUGAGUGUCGAUCCCUUCCCGAAGGCAUUGUUGUUGAAGAAAUUCAUCGUCUGUGUGGUGUCAUGAAAUGGUUGGUGCAGAUACAGUCAUUGUUAUAGUUUGCCGAUCGUGGAUCUGAUCCCUUUGACAUUUUUUCUUUUUCCUCGCGUACACGUGGCUUUGGUCUUAUAUGACUUUACUAGCUACUGGCUUUUUAGGGUGUGUGCUGCUGUUGGUUGUGUGCAUUUUUAGCUAUGCAAAGGCUGGAUGUGUGCUCAUAGUGUUUGUAUCCUUUUGAUGCUUCAUUUUGAGUCAAUAAAAUCUACUAUUUAUCGAAAAAACUCUUUGUAGAAAUUCCAGUAUAGCGGGGCAAAUCCACCAAAGGUCAUGGGUGUACAGAUGUACACCCAAUUUUUCUUGCAAGAAAACUAUAUAUUUGGUGUGUAUUAGUUAUGUGUGUUAACUAUGAGUAGGGCCUUUCGGUGCCCAGACUCAUCUGCACCCGGUUAGAAAACAAUUCGUAAAAAUUCAAAACAAAUUAAAAAAAAAUCAAUUUUUUUGUGCGGUAGACAAUUUGAUGCGUAAGGCCUACUCCGAAUUUCAAGUUAUUUGGACAUCUGAGCAGCUCUCAACAAAACAAACAAAUUGGGCCAAAACAGUACAUGAACAGUAAACAUUUUUACAGACCCUCAGUUUGUCUUUUUUGCUGAGAGCUGCUCAAAUGUCCAAAUGAUUUGAAAAUUGAAGCGGACCUCACGCAUCAAAUUCUCUACUGCACAAAAAAUAUAUAGAAGUUUUUGAAUUUUUCGAGUAUUUGUUUUGAUUUUUUUUUCAUCGACGAGGGUGCAGAGAUGGUUUUUCAACUAGUUUAAGCAAUGUAUCACAGUUCAUUUACAUCCCUCGUGCACCUCGUCCAACAAGACAUCUCGUUUUGGCAGACUUGCGCACGACCCGACUGGCCCAGCACCACUAUCUUCAUCCCCUGGCUCCUAGUUACCAUCUCUAUUUUGAACCAUCUCAUCUAGUAUUACAUAGAUGCCUUAUUACUAUUGUUACUUGAAACAAAUGGAUUUUGUUACAUUUUGAGUGCAAGAUUUUUUUUCUGCAAGACGCCAUGCCUUGUUUGUUAUCAUGAAAAUUGUAGGGUUGCGCAGUAAAUAAUCUUCAAUUUUGGCCAUGUCCUUAAGAUAUUUGAGGUAUUGUCACUGUGAUAGGGGGGAAAAGUUCUUGUUAUGUAAACAUUUUAGGUAUCAUAUUGGGUUAAAAAAAAUUGAACACCCAAGUCUGAAAUCCUUGAUCCGCCACUGCAAUAUAGACUACAUACGAAGCAAAAGAUUGAAUCUACACUUUCAAAUAUGUCUAUAUACAUUUAUAUGUAGUUCAUAUUAAAAUCUCUAAAAGGACUUAUAUUUAGAAACGAAGGGAGUAUAUUUUGGAUGAAAACACUGUCGACGAUAAGCAUUUUACAACUGAUCGGCGAUUAGCAUGUCCUGAUGACACAACCGACAGGUGACGCCCACUUGUCAGGAGCUGACUUGGCCAAAAAAAAACGUGUGUGCAUGUUUACUCUUUCUUCUUCCCUCACCUCUCUCUCGCCCUCUCUUGUGCAUUAUAUCAAACAGGCUGUGUGCGCUCACAAGACAGUUCGAGACGGCGUCCAGCGCUGUUCCUCCUGGAGCAGCACGAGCACCUGUACCCGCGCUAUCACCAGGACGCCGCCACUCCGCACAGCGUGCUCCGUCGAGACCUCGCGACAGAGGGACAGGAGCACCAGCGAACCAGCCGCCAGAGCGCUCGAGCUCGCAGUCAUCCGGGUCGAGACCUCUGAGCAACGAGCAGCAGCGGAGCUCCGACACCUGCCCGCCCACCACCUCCCUCUCUCCUACACCUGCCUGCGCGCCGCCGUAGGUGCUCGAGCACCCUGCCGAGCAAUGGCGCCGCCGCCAGCGGACGCGCGUUCGCCCGGCCGUGACGCCGUCCCUCCGACGUCCUCAGCCACACAGCCGUCCGUCGGCCUCCCCUUCAGCGACCUCGCGGACGCCCGGACAUGGCAGGCCGCCUCGGACCACUGUGCCCGGCCCACCUGCGCCGCCACGCCGGUCGCCGUCGCCAGACUCUCCGCCGCGCACAUCGUCUCCUCCGACAGCCCCCGACGGCCAGAGCGCCCCCAAGCCACGUUGCCGCCCGUGCCCGCCGCCAACUCCAGCGCCUCGCCUCCACCGCGCACGCCUCCUCGACGAUGAAGCGCCCCCUGGUGCGCGCCACGGCGGGGGUGACGAUGUGGGGCACGGGGAGCGGCCUGGUCGUCCUCGUCCUCCAUCCCGUCGUCGUCGUAGUCCAUGAGCUCCUCGCCUCUGUUAGCCAAUAAACCGUGAUGCGUGUGUGUGUAGAGACCAGGGUAGGGGCGCGCGCUGUGUGUGCAUGCGUGGCGCCGGACCAGGUGCAGCCGUUGGCGCGUAGGUCAGGGUGACCGAGUCGGGGCCGUUGCGGGCUCGCCGCGUCCUGGGCGCGAUCGUGCGCGGGGUGGACGCGGCCAGAGCGGGCCGGACCGUGCGCUCGGGCGGGUGCAGACGUGGGGCUCGUGCCCAGCGUCUGCCCCGGGUAUAAAACCCGCGAGGGGCGCGUUGUAAUGGCUGUGGGGUGUGACGAGUACGAGCUCGUGGAUUUGGCGUUGUUGCGCCGGGAAAAAAACCACCCUGUCCCUGCGUUCUUCUUCCUCCUUCGGUCUUCUUCUUCCUCAGUUCACCUUGCAGAGAGAGAGAGAGAGAAGUACAGAGAGCUCCGGCGAGCGAGGGAGAAGGCCACGGCAACAACAGCCUCUGCAGCCGCAACUGGGUGGUAAAGCAAGCGAGAGGGGGCAAAGCGCGUGGCGGCUUCGGUGCUGAGUCGGCAUGGUUUUGACUAGUCUCUGUCUACGUGGCAAUUAAUUUUUACUCUCUCAUUCGUCCUUCGCGUCCUAUCCCUCCUACAGUAGGCAUUUCGUCCGACAGUUGUGCGCCUGCGCUUCAUUCCAUCACCUCACCGCUGUCCAUGGAAUGGAAGAGCUUUAGGUCUCCGGCACGAUGUCGAUGCUUACCGACGAAGUAACCACAGAGCUGGAGCUGGACGUCCGCGUCCUCACGUACAGCCGGUGUGUGCCCUGUCCACGAGCUGGACACCGGAGCCGGCAGCAGCCCGACACGGAGGCAUAUAUACCUGCGCAACGUGAUCCAGCAGGCGGCACGGAACGGCGCGCGAGGGCAGCGGCCGGCUAGCUGCGCGGAGCGCCGUGAUCGAGCUGCUUGCACGCUGGCGAACUCGGCUCUGCCGCGCUACGAUACGAUGGCCCUGGUGUCGCUCGGUCGGUCGGACCGGGCGCCGCGUUCGAGGGCGAGGCCACCGCGCGGCAUGCCGGCUUGUGCUUAGGACAACGAUUAGCAGAUAACGACAUCCACAUGCCACAACCCCGUUUAGCAAUAACACAUGCAACAUGUCGUGCGUGUGCAAGCCCUCACGCCGCCGCCGUCCCGCCUCGUGCGUGUUUAGCCGGGCGGCUGAAUCCAUCACCAUCAGCAGCUUUUCACAUGAGAUCUCCAAGCAUCCAAAGCACCUUUGUUGUGUACGUACGCCUUCUCCGCGGAAAGAAAUGAAAUCGUGCGAUCGGGCCAUGUCCUUGAGCACCGUCCAGUCCAGCAUCGCCAAGUCCUUGAGCACUGGCGCGCGCGUUGCCGAUGACCGUGCCGUGCCUUGCUCGGUCAUGCCCUGCUGACCUCGCCAUGCUCACCGUGCUUCGCGCGCUUCCAUAACCUCCAUGCUUGGGGCCGCCGUGCGGGCUACGCAGUCAUGCAUGCCUGCUCCACCUCCACCCCACCACGGCCGAGCCGCGCGCAACCACCACCUGUGAUCCUGCUGGCCACCACGCCUUUGGCUAGUUCCCUGAGGGCCUGCUGAACACCGCCGUGGCCGAGCCUUUACACGGCGUGCUGCCAUUGCCGCUCCGCUGCUCCGUGCCGCCGCAUGCGCGUCGAUGCCAUGCUGCCGCUCUCGCACCAUAACAUAGCAGGGGUACGCCUCCCGGCAACUCGCUGGUGUCCAGCACGCCGAUGAUGACGUCGAUGGCACGAGCCACCGUCAGCUCGUGCCAGCAUCCGGCGCACGGUGGCCGUAACACUCGAACUGACAGGCGUGCUCCGUGUUCGACAAAAUGCCACCAGAAGAUGGCAUGAGAAGAAGGAAAGACACGAUGAGUAGGAGAGAGAGAGAGAAUAUUGCCACAUGGGCAAUGACUGGUCAAAACCAUGCUGACUGAGCACAAAAACCACGUCUUUUGUGCCGAGGGACGAAAAAUAUCCGGUUUGAAGAGUUAAUGGUGCCAAAUGUCGGGAUUAGGAGUUGAGGGACCAAAACCGAACCAGUGGAAAAGUUGAGGAACUAAAAAUGGACUUUUCUCUAUAUAAUACAAAGAGGUAUUGUGUUAAUUUGGAGUUCUCUGUUCACAGUUUUAUCUGGAUUACUUUCAGAUAUCGACAAACCUUGUGUUUUUUCUGAAACUCAUGUUUGCUGCAGAGAUUUCAGACGAUGCGUCCAGCGUGCUUCAAUGCUGGAAGCAACGGAAGUACUUUUGGAAGAACGAGUGACUUGAAGCUUGGUUGAGACAGGAAAUUCAGGCCCUUACACAGGUAUAGUGCCAUUAAGGUCCAUGGAAGCAUGAUACCAUUAUUUCCUGCUUCACUGAUAAAGUUUUCAAAGUGUAAGCUGGAAACGAGCAACAUACUAUUCUUUCAUUAAACGAUAUCAACACAUACACUUAAAACAGGGGCUGUGGACCUGGUGACAGGACCUUUGCUAUGGAUCUGUCGAUGAAAUUCAAAAAUGGAACGCUGAACAGGAAACGGUAAGCAACUUUGAGAGGUUGAUUCACUCAAGCUUCGGGGUACAAGAGCUAGGGUUUGUCGCCAGCCGGAACACGGCGGCUUGGGGAACACCCCUAUUACAAGAUAUGCAUCGCACCGAUCCAGAAUGGGGCAUAAAUAGCUAAGCAAAGUAGCUAAAAAAGUGAGAAAAAGAAAUAAAGUAGGCGUGGCUUUGUCGGAAAGCCAACAGCGAUCUCCAGUCUCCGCGUAGCCGUCGGAUGGCUGAUCUGCAAUUAGGGAUGCUUGCCGUUGCGAAGCGGUACGGAGCGUUGAUAGCCACAGGAUGCAGAUCGGGCGCACGCUGUUGCAUCCGACAACGAAAACAGACGAGCUACAAGAAAAGUGUCGAGUUUUGCAGUUCCGUCAGGUUUAGGGCCUGACACCUGGACCAUGGGCACAUGCCACGGUUGCCCUUUUCUAGCUCCAGGCCGGCCAGACAGUCAGUCAGUCUACUCUGGAUGAAUGGGCGCCGAGAAAUAGCGCUGUGUUCACUUCGUCGUAUGUUCAUGAAAGGUCCGUGGCUGAACAGGGUGGCCUUCUAGCUAUGCAGUACACCAUGCAAAUGGUUGUGCAAGGUAAGGGUGUAGAAAAGCUCAAUAUUGUGGUGUAGCUUUCGAAGUUCAAAACAACUGUGGGGUCUUAGUUAUCUUUACAGAAAGAAACUAUGUGUGGUUAUUGUUAGUUACCAGCUCCCAAGAAGUUGAACAAUGGUGGUAAUGGCCGUCCAUUUGGCAAGCAGGUCUUGGGAUCCCACAGAUCAUCUAAGAAUGGAUGGGCAUAAGCACCAACCUGCUGUUGGGGAACGUAGUAAUUUCAAAAAAUUUCUUACGCACACACAAGAUCAUGGUGAUGCAUAGCAACGAGAGGGGAGAGUGUUGUCCACGUACCCUCGUAGACCGACAGCGGAAGCGUUAUCACAACGCGAUUGAUGUAGUCGUACGUCUUCACGAUCCGACCGAUCAAGUACCGAACGUACGGCACCUCCAAGUUCUACACACGUUCAGCUCGAUGACGUCCCUCGAACUCCGAUCCAGCCGAGUGUUGAGGGAGAGCUUCGUCAGCACGACGGCGUGGUGACGAUGAUGAUGUUCCACCGACGCAGGGCUUUGCCUAAGCUCCGCGACGGUAUUAUCGAGGUGUAAUCUGGUGGAGGGGGGCACCGCACACGGCUAAAAUAUCGUAUAUCAAAGUGUGUCCAUGGGGUGCCCCCUGCCCCCGUAUAUAAAGGAGCAAGGGAGGAGGAGGCCGGCCCUAGGAGGGGGCGCAUCAAGUGUGGAGUCCUACUAGGACUCCCUAGUCCUAGUAGGAUUCCACCUCCCAUAUGGAAUAGGAAAGGAGGAAGGGAAAAAGAGAAGGAAGGAAGGGGGCGCCCCCCUUCCCUAGUCCAAUUCGGACCAGACCAAGGGGAGGGGUGCGGCCACCCUUGAGGCCCUUUUCCUUCUUUCCCGUAUGGCCCAAUAAGGCUCAAUACGUAUUCCCGUAACUCUCCGGUACUCCGAAAAAUACCCGAAUCACUCGGAACCUUUCCGAAGUCCGAAUACAGUCGUCCAAUAUAUCGAUCUUUACGUCUCGGCCAUUUCGAGACUCCUCGUCAUGUCCCCGAUCUCAUCCGGGACUCCGAACUCCUUCGGUACAUCAACAUACAUAAACUCAUAAUAAAACUGUCAUCGUAACCUUAAGCGUGCGGACCCUUUGGGUUCGAGAACUAUGUAGACAUGACCGAGACACCUCUCCGGUCAAUAACCAAUAGCGGGACCUGGAUGCCCAUAUUGGCUCCCACAUAUUCUACGAAGAUCUUUAUCGGUCAGACCGCAUAACAACAUACGUUGUUCCCUUUGUCAUCGGUAUGUUACUUGCCCGAGAUUUGAUCGUCGGUAUCUCGAUACCUAGUUCAAUCUUGUUACCGGCAAGUCUCUUUACUCGUUCCGUAAUACAUCAUCCCGCAACUAACUCAUUAGUCACAAUGCUUGCAAGGCUUAUAAUGAUGUGCAUUACCGAGUGGGCCCAGAGAUACCUCUCCGACAAUCGGAGUGACAAAUCCUAAUCUCGAAAUACGCCAACCCAACAAGUACCUUUGGAGACACCUGUAGAGCACCUUUAUAAUCACCCAGUUACGUUGUGACGUUUGGUAGCACACAAAGUGUUCCUCCGGUAAACGGGAGUUGCAUAAUCUCAUAGUCAUAGGAACAUGUAUAAGUCAUGAAGAAGGCAAUAGCAACAUACUAAACGAUCGGGUGCUAAGCUAACGGAAUGGGUCAUGUCAAUCACGUCAUUCUCCUAAUGAGGUGAUCCCGUUAAUCAAAUCACAACUCAUGUCUAUGGCUAGGAAACAUAACCAUCUUUGAUUAACGAGCUAGUCAAGUAGAGGCAUACUAGUGACACUCUGUUUGUCUAUGUAUUCACACAUGUAUUAUGUUUCCGGUUAAUACAAUUCUAGCAUGAAUAAUAAACAUUUAUCAUGAUAUAAGGAAAUAUAUAAUACUUUAUUAUUGCCUCUAGGGCAUAUUUCCUUCAGUCUCCCACUUGCACUAGAGUCAAUAAUCUAGUUCACAUCGCCAUGUGAUUUAACAUCAAUAAUUCACAUCAAUAUGUGAUUAACACCCAUAGUUCACAUCUCUAUGUGACCAACACUCAAAGGGUUUACUAGAGUCAAUAAUCUAGUUCACAUCGCUAUGUGAUUAACACCCAAAGAGUACUAAGGUGUGAUCAUGUUUUGAUUGUGAGAUAAUUUUAGUCAACGGGUCUGUCACAUUCAGAUCCGUAAGUAUUUUGCAAAUUUCUAUGUCUACAAUACUCUGCACGGAGCUACUCUAGCUAAUUGCUCCCACUUUCAAUAUGUAUCUAGACCGAGACUUAGAGUCAUCUAGAUUUAGUGUGAAAACUUGCAUCGACGUAACCCUUUACGACGAACCUUUUGUCACUUCCAUAAUCGAGAAACAUAUCCUUAUUCCACUAAGGAUAACUUUGACCGUUGUCCAGUGAUCUACUCCUAGAUCACUAUUGUACUCCCUUGCCAAAAUCAGUGUAGGGUAUACAAUAGAUCUGGUACACAGCAUGGCAUACUUUACAGAACCUAUGGCCAAGGCAUAGGGAAUGACUUUCAUUCUCUUUCUAUCUUCUGCCGUGGUCGGGCUUUGAGUCUUUACUCAAUUUCACACCUUGUAACACAGGCAAGAACUCUUUCUUUGACUGUUCUAUUUUGAACUACUUCAAAAUCUUGUUAAGGUAUGUACUCAUUGAAAAAACUUAUCAAGCGUCUUGAUCUAUCUCUAUAGAUCUUGAUGCUCAAUAUGUAAGCAGCUUCACCGAGGUCUUUCUUUGAAAAACUCCUUUCAAACACUCCUUUAUGCUUUGCAGAAUAAUUCUACAUUAUUUCUGAUCAAUAAUAUGUCAUUCACAUAUACUUAUCAGAAAUGUUGUAGUGCUCCCACUCACUUUCUUGUAAAUACAGGCUUCACCGCAAGUCUGUAUAAAACUAUAUCCUUUGAUCAACUUAUCAAAGUGUAUAUUCCAACUCCGAGAUGCUUGCACCAGUCCAUAGAUGGAUCGCUGGAGCUUGCAUAUUUUGUUAGCACCUUUAGGAUUGACAAAACCUUCUGGUUGCAUCAUAUACAACUCUUCUUUAAUAAAUCCAUUAAGGAAUGCAGUUUUCUUUAUCCAUUUGCCAUAUUUCAUAAAAUGCGGCAAUUGCUAACAUGAUUCAGACAGACUUAAGCAUAGAUGCGAGUGAGAAACUCUCAUCCUAGUCAACACCUUGAAUUUGUCGAAAACCUUUUUGCGAUAAUUCUAGCUUUGUAGAUAGUAACACUACUAUCAGCGUCCGUCUUCCUCUUGAAGAUCCAUUUAAUCUCAAUGGCUCGCCGAUCAUUGGGCAAGUCAAUCAAAGUCCAUACUUUGUUCUCAUAUAUGGAUCUUAUCUCAGAUUUCAUGGCCUCAAGCCAUUUCGUGGAAUCUGGGCUCAUCAUCGCUUCCUCAUAGUUCGUAGGUUCGUCAUGGUCUAGUAACAUAACCUCCAGAACAGGAUUACCAUACCACUAUGGUGCGGAUCUUACUCUGGUUGACCUACGAGGUUCAGUAAUAACUUGAUCUGAAGUUCUAUGAUCAUCAUCAUUAACUUCCUCACUAAUUGGUGCAGGAGUCACAGGAACAGAUUUCUGUGAUGAACUACUUUCCAAUAAGGGAGCAGGUACAGUUACCUCAUCAAGUUCUACUUUUCUCCCACUCACUUCUUUCGAGAGAAACUCCUUCUCUAAAAAGGAUCCAUACUAAGCAACGAAUGUCUUGCCUUCGGAUCUGUGAUAGAAGGUGUACCCAACUGUCUCCUUUGGGUAUCCUAUGAAGACACAUUUCUCCGAUUUGGGUUUGAGCUUAUCAGGAUGAAACUUUUUCACAUAAGCAUCGCAACCCCAAACUUUAAGAAACGAUAACUUUGGUUUCUUGCCAAACCACAGUUCAUAAGGCGUCGUCUCAGCGGAUUUUGAUGGUGCCCUUUUUAACGUGAAUGUAGCUGUCUCUAAUGCAUAACCCCAAAACGAUAGUGGUAAAUUGGUAAGAGACAUCAUAGAUUGCACUAUAUCCAAUAAAGUACGGUUAUGACGUUCGGACACACCAUUAUGCUGUGGUGUUCCAGGUGGCGUGAGUAGUGAAACUAUUUCACAUUGUUUUAACUGAAGGCCAAACUCGUAACUCAAAUACUCUUCUCUACGAUCAGAUCAUAGAAACUUUAUUUUCUUGUCACGAUGAUUUUCCACUUCACUCUGAAAUUCUUUGAACUUUUCAAAUGUUUCAGACUUAUGUUUCAUCAAGUAGAUAUACCCAUAUCUGCUCAAAUCAUCUGUGAAGCUCAGAAAAUAAUGAUACCUGCUACGAACCUCAAUAUUCAUCGGACCACAUACAUCUGUAUGUAUGAUUUCCAACAAAACUGUUGCUCUCUCCAUAGUUCCGGAGAACGGCAUUUCAGUCAUCUUGCCCAUGAGGCACGGUGCGCAAGCAUCAAGUGAUUCAUAAUCAGGUGAUUCCAAAAUCCCAUCAGUAUGGAGUUUCUUCAUGCGCUUUACACCAAUAUGACCUAAACAGCAGUGCCACAAAUAAGUUGCACUAUCAUUAUUAACUUUGCAUCUUUUGGCUUCAAUAUUAUGAAUAUGUGUAUCACUACGAUCGAGAUCCAACAAACCAUUUUCGUUGGUGUGUGUGACCAUAAAAGGUUUUUAUUCAUGUAAACAGAACAACAAUUGUUCUCUAACUUAAAUGAAUAACCGUAUUGCAAUAAACAUGAUCAAAUCAUAUUCAUGCUCAACGCAAACACCAAAUAACACUUAUUUAGUUUCAACACUAAUCCCGAAAGUAUAGGGAGUGUGCGAUGAUGAUCAUAUCAAUCUUGGAACUACUUCCAACACACAUCGUCACCUCGUCUUUUACUAGUCUCUGUUUAUUCUGCUACUCCCGUUUUCGAGUUACUACUCUUUAGCAACUGAACCAGUAUGAAAUACUGAGGGGUUGCUAUAAACACUAGUAAGUACACAUCAAUAACAUGUAUAUCCAAUAUACCUUUGUUCACUUUGCCAUCUUUCUUAUCCACCAAAUACUUGGGGUAGUUCCGCUUCCAGUGACCAGUCCCUUUGCAGUAGAAGCACUUAGUCUCAGGCUUAGGUACAGACUUGGGCUUCUUCACUUGAGUAGCAACUUGCUUGCCGUUCUUUUGAAGUUCUCCUUCUUCCCUUUGCCCUUUUCUUGAAACUAGUGGUCUUGUCAACCAUCAACACUUGAAGUGGUCUCGUCAACCAUCAACACUUGAUGUUUUUCUUGAUUUCUACCUUCGUCGAUUUCAGCAUCACGAAGAGCUCGGGAAUUACUUUCGUCAUCCCUUGCAUACUAUAGUUCAUCACGAAGUUCUGCUAACUUGGUGAUGGUGACUAGAGAAUUCUGUCAAUCACUAUUUUAUCUGGAAGAUUAAUUCCCACUUGAUUCAAGCGAUUGUAGUACCCAGACAAUCUGAGCACAUGCUCACUAGUUGAGCGAUUCUCCUCCAUCUUUUAGCUAUAGAACUUGUUGGAGACUUCAUAUCUCUCAACCCGGGUAUUUGCUUGAAAUAUUAACUUCAACUCCUGGAACAUCUUAUAUGGUCCAUGACGUUCAAAACGUCUUUGAAGUCCCGAUUCUAAGCCGUUAAGCAUGGUGCACUAAACUAUCAAGUAGUCAUCAUAUUGAGCUAGCCAAACGUUCAUAACGUCUGCAUCUGCUCCUGCAAUAGGUCUGUCACCUAGCGGUGCAUCAAGGACAUAAUUUUUUCUGUGCAGCAAUGAGUAUAAUCCUCAGAUCACGGAUCCAAUCCGCAUCUUUGCUACUGACAUCUUUCAACAUAAUUUUUCUCUAGGAACAUAUCAAAAAUAAACACAGGGAAGCAACAACGCGAGCUAUUGAUCUACAACAUAAUUUGCAAAAUACUAUCAGGACUAAGUUCAUGAUAAAUUUAAGUUCAAUUAAUCAUAUUACUUAAGAACUCCCACUUAGAUAGACAUCCCUCUAAUCAUCUAAGUGAUUACGUGAUCCAAAGCAACUAAACCAUGUCCGAUUAACACGUGAGAUGGAGUAGUUUCAAUGGUGAACAUCACUAUGUUGAUCAUAUCUACUAUAUGAUUCACGCUCGACCUUUCGGUCUCUGUGUUCCGAGGCCAUAUCUGUAUAUGCUAGGCUCGUCAAGUUUAACCUGAGUAUUCCGCGUGUGCAACUGUUUUGCACCCGUUGUAUUUGAACGUAGAGCCUAUCACACCCGAUUAACACGUGGUGUCUCAGCACGAAGAACUUUUGCAACGGUGCAUACUCAGGGAGAACACUUUUAUCUUGAAAUUUUAGUGAGGGAUCAUCUUAUAAUGCUACCGUCAAUCAAAGCAAGAUAAGAUGCAUAAAGGAUUAACAUCACAUGCAAUCAAUAUAAGUGAUAUGAUAUGGCCAUCAUCAUCUUGUGCUUGUGAUCUCCAUCCCCGAAGCACCGUGCUCGUGAUCUCCAUCUCCGAAGCACCGUCAUGAUCACCAUCGUCACCGGCACGACACCUUGAUCUCCAUCGUAGUAUCGUUGUCGUCUCGCCAACUUAUUGCUUUUACGACUAUCGCUACCGCUUAGUGAUAAAGUAAAACUAUUACAUGGCGAUUGCAUCUCAUACAAUAAAGCGACAACUAUAUGGCUCCUGCCAGUUGCCGAUAACUCGGUUACAAAACAUGAUCAUCUCAUACAACACACUAUAUCACAUCAUGUCUUGACCAUAUCACAUCACAACAUGCCCUGCAAAAACAAGUUAGACGUCCUCUACUUUGUUGUUGCAUGUUUUACGUGGCUGCUACGGGCUUAGCAAGAACCGUUCUUACCUACGCAUCAAAACCACAAUGAUAGUUUGUCAAGUUGGUGCUGUUUUAACCUUCGCAAGGACCGGGCGUAGCCACACUCGGUUCAACUAAAGUGAGAGAGACAGACACCCGCCAGUCACCUUUAAGCAACGAGUGCUCCAAACGGUGAAACCAGUCUCGCGUAAGCGUACGCGUAAUGUCGGUCCGGGCCGCUUCAUCUCACAAUACCGCUGAACCAAAGUAUGACAUACUGGUAAGCAGUAUGACUUAUAUCGCCCACAACUCACUUGUGUUCUACUCGUGCAUAGCAUCAACGCAUAAAACCUGGCUCGGAUGCCACUGUUGGGGAACGUAGUAAUUUCAAAAAAAUUCCUACGCACACGCAAGAUCAUGGUGAUGCAUAGCAACGAGAGGGGAGAGUGUUGUCCACGUACCCUCGUAGACCGACAGCGGAAGCGUUAUCACAACGCGCUUGAUGUAGUCGUACGUCUUCACGAUCCGACCGAUCAAGUACCGAACGUACGGCACCUCCAAGUUCUACACACGUUCAGCUCGAUGACGUCCCUCGAACUCCGAUCCAGCCGAGUGUUGAGGGAGAGUUUCGUCAGCACGACGGCGUGGUGACGAUGAUGAUGUUCCACCGACGCAGGGCUUCGCCUAAGCUCCGCGACGGUAUUAUCGAGGUGUAAUCUGGUGGAGGGGGCACCGCACACGGCUAAAAUAUCGUAUAUCAAAGUGUGUCCAUGGGGUGCCCCCUGCCCCCGUAUAUAAAGGAGCAAGGGAGGAGGAGGCCGGCCCUAGGAGGGGGCGCAUCAAGUGUGGAGUCCUACUAGGACUCCCUAGUCCUAGUAGGAUUCCACCUCCCAUAUGGAAUAGGAAAAGAGAAAGGGAAAAAGAGAAGGAAGGAAGGGGGCGCCCCCCUUCCCUAGUCCAAUUCGGACCAGACCAAGGGGAGGGGUGCGGCCACCCUUGAGGCCCUUUUCCUUCUUUCCCGUAUGGCCCAAUAAGGCUCAAUACGUAUUCCCGUAACUCUCCGGUACUCCGAAAAAUACCCGAAUCACUCGGAACCUUUCCGAAGUCCGAAUACAGUCGUCCAAUAUAUCGAUCUUUACGUCUCGACCAUUUCGAGACUCCUCGUCAUGUCCCCGAUCUCAUCCGGGACUCCGAACUCCUUCGGUACAUCAACAUACAUAAACUCAUAAUAAAACUGUCAUCGUAACCUUAAGCGUGCGGACCCUUUGGGUUCGAGAACUAUGUAGACAUGACCGAGACACCUCUCCGGUCAAUAACCAAUAGCGGGACCUGGAUGCCCAUAUUGGCUCCAACAUAUUCUAUGAAGAUCUUUAUCGGUCAGACCGCAUAACAACAUACGUUGUUCCCUUUGUCAUCGGUAUGUUACUUACCCGAGAUUCGAUCGUCGGUAUCUCGAUACCUAGUUUAAUCUCGAGAUUCGAUCGUCGGUAUCUCGAUACCUAGUUCAAUCUCGUUACCGGCAAGUCACUUUACUCGUUCCGUAAUACAUCAUCCCGCAACUAACUCAUUAGUCACAAUGCUUGCAAGGCUUAUAGUGAUGUGCAUUACCGAGUGGGCCCAGAGAUACAUCUCCGACAAUCGGAGUGACAAAUCCUAAUCUCGAAAUACGCCAACCCAACAAGUACUUUUGGAGACACCUGUAGAGCACCUUUAUAAUCACCCAGUUACGUUGUGACGUUUGGUAGCACACAAAGUGUUCCUCCGGUAAACGGGAGUUGCAUAAUCUCAUAGUCAUAGGAACAUGUAUAAGUCAUGAAGAAGGCAAUAGCAACAUACUAAACGAUCGGGUGCUAAGCUAACGGAAUGGGUCAUGUCAAUCACGUCAUUCUCCUAAUGAGGUGAUCCCGUUAAUCAAAUCACAACUCAUGUCUAUGGCUAGGAAAUAUAACCAUCUUUAAUUAACGAGCUAGUCAAGUAGAGGCAUACUAGUGACACUCUGUUUGUCUAUGUAUUCACACAUGUAUUAUGUUUCCGGUUAAUACAAUUCUAGCAUGAAUAAUAAACAUUUAUCAUGAUAUAAGAAAAUAUAUAAUACUUUAUUAUUGUCUCUAGGGCAUAUUUCCUUCACCUGCAAGGAUAACCAAAAACUGUCUAGUCAGAAUAGUACUCACCUUUUUCAAGGAUUUUUCUCCUUCGUUCAUGAAUAUAGUAGGGCCGUGAUUCAUAGAUGCCAUGGCAAUCAAAUUGUACUUUAGCUAGAGAAAAGUGUAGAACUUAGCGUUAGCGAGCAAUGAAUCUGUACUGAUUUAUGUACGAGCCUGAAAGACUGAAAACAAACUACAGACUACACGGCUGAGACCUGAGAUUAAGAGCUCCACUUUGGAAUGAAGGAAAUCCAGCAUAGCUUGAUCUUGUGUCGGAGAGCUCCAGAGUUUCAUCAUCUCGGCAAUGUUAUGACAUGAAGCAGCGUGCGUCACAGUGAUUCCCUCAAGCAGCCAGAGCAUUAUGGCAUGUAUCAAGUGGAGCAAGGGCAGCGAUUCCCUCAAGCAGCCAGAGCAUUAUUCAAGUACAAGAUUCAGGUAAAUUUCACCCCUCUUGGUUGUCGAAAAGAAGUGAUGCUUUAGCUGAAACUGCAUUUGGAUGGUCGAAGUAAUUGCAUUGUUUGUAGCUCUCUGUUCUUAGGAGCAUCUCUUAUCCCGCAGCACCUUCUUAACAGCAAGUCAGCAACAGUCUCUCCGGUUUCCAAGCACCUAGCCUGUUGUGCCAGAUAUUAUCAGUGAAUUCAUGGCCCAGCAUUAGAAAUAUUCAUUAACCGAAAACCUUUUCUUGGAACAAAUGGAUCCGGAGCAAUCUGACGAGGAUCCUGUCCAUUGAACCAUGGAGGGUUCAGAAGGCUUGGCCUUCUCACGGUUGCUAAGCUGAGCUUCAGUAGAGGCAACAGCCGUCACUGUCGCAACAGAUUCCAGAGCACCCCAAGAUUUAUGGAGGUCAAAAUUCCUAGCCCACCCCAAGAUUCUUCGGUCUGCAGACCAACUUCCAGUUCAUUACAGAUAUUCAGAGACCUCGGGUGACAUUCCAGUUCAGGGCAAUGCUGUUUUGGUUGAUUCAUAGGGAGCUUGCAUUGCACGGUGAACAGAGACAGUUGAAGGCAGAACGGACGAUGGACUCGGCCGAACACGAACCAACUAGAGACUUAGAAGAGUAAUUUAGCUCCUGAGUAAGAAAGAAUUCGCCAAAACAUAGUUCCUUAGAGUAGUAAUUAGAAGUAGAGGCAGAGGGCUUCAGUCCAUGUUCGAGCCUUGAAGAUAACAGUGACCAUGAUGGCCAAAGGUGCUCGAUACAGCUUGUGGUGGAUGACUUCUCUGCUCUCGAUGGCGAAGUCGGCAAAAGAUUGAACACCAUGGUUCCUGUCCCUGUAAGUAGAAGUAGAACUACUCUCUUCCUAGUUCCUACUGACCCAGCAUAUGACAGAAUCUUCUGAAUACGGAGCUGCGAAGUGCAAUUUCCCAGACUGAUUGGGGCAUAACUACUAGAAGGAUUGGACAUGACAUACAUAUGUUAAAAUUGAUUCACUGCAUAAAGGGGCUUAAGUACUGCAGUUUUGGGUUUCGAGUUUAGACAGUUCCAAGGGGUUUCAGAGUUUUACCUCAGAUAUAUCUUCUUACCGUCUUACUUAACCAUGGUCUGAAGUUUAUAUGGGCUGGGAUUGUUAGUGCCUGCUAGGAAAUCAUUAUAAGUGGGUUAUUACUCAAUGAUGCCAUACACUGUUUACGGUACAGAUCAUAUGUUAAACGCAAAAGAUGAUGUUGAUUUAUGAGAAUUGUCGACCUAGUGGAUGCAGCCCAUGGUUCGACCGUAUGCCUGGUCCUAAAAAUGCAAAUGGUGAGCUAUGUUCCCUUUUUUUUCUUACAAUUAGCCGCAUUCCACUUUUACUGUUCUGUCUGAUAUUUUACUUUCACUUGUGAACAGAGAACCUGAAACUCAUGCUAGCUUCUUUUGUGAUAUUGUACUGAAGUGCUAGUCAUGUGAGUGAAUAUAUAUUUUCUUGAAGCAAAAAUGGGUAUUAUGUAGCCCAUACAUAAAUCUAUACUAUAUACUAUCUGUGCUCCGUGGUAGGCCUUCCUGAUUCUGUCAUUUGACCCCAAUAUGAUCUCUAAUUCAGGUUGGUGUUGUAAGGCUUGGUUGAGCUCAAGUUUAGGUCUGUUUUGCAAGCACAAUCCACUUCUCCUCCAUUGUGGAAGGAGUGCAUAAUAAAUUUUUGAUUCUUUGAAGAGCCUUUUCGACCGUUUAGGUUCCAGUCACUAUUAUACUCCCUCCGUUCCUAAAUAUAAGUCUUUGUAGAGAUUCCACUAUAAACCACAUACGGAUGUAUAUAGAUGCAUUUUAAGUGUAGAUUCAUUCAAUUUGCUCCGUAUGUAGUCCACCUAGUGGAAUCACUAGAAAGACUUACAUUUAGGAACGGAGGGAGUAUAUGAUAAUGGCAUCGACAGAUGACAAUUCAAAAUUUGGGAGGCAUCCACUUGUUUCAAUCAGAACAACAAAUCUCCCCUUAGUCUUGUCAUUGAGCUUAUUAACUGCCACCUCUUUCCUUGACAAUAGUCCACGACAUUCAAACAAGGUUAUAUGGCAUAAAAAAGAUCAGGUCUACCAUACAAUCAACAGCUAGAUACAUGACUGGAUGAAUGCCAUAUAACAAUUUUCAGAACAAUGAUUGGUCAAUUGUUAGCCAAUAGAUAACAUGAACCCUUCUAGGAUGAUAAAAAAAAAUAUCAUACAAUAUGCAACAGCCAGAGAUCUAAGAUUGGAUAAAUGCCACACAUUAUUGAUAUCCCACAGACUAUCCCAUCAAUGAACACCAUAACAGAACUGCAAUCUCUUUUCCAUACAGCUGGGACAUGAUCAUAAUCAUUUUCCAAGAGACAAAAAUUGAUGCAGACAAGAAAAAGUAGCUACUAUACUUUUGCAUCCUGUCCAUCACAAGAUCUAGACAUACUAUAGAUCACCACAAAGUGUAGAAUAUCAGUAAUUACCACGCUAAGCAGUACAACGUAUAAACUGGAGACAAUGUGCUAUAAAAAGACAAGCACAUUAAACAGGAAAGACAAAACUGCAACAAUCAACAAUUUCAGUAAUUAUCACAGACCCUAUCCCAUGACAAUCAACAAUUAUAAUGUACGUAAACAAAAGUGCAAGGCAUACUGGGACAUAAUCAUUUUCCAGGUAUUGAACCGGAUAAGACAAAGGUAGCUACCUGUGCAGCCAGUUGGAUCGCAAGGCCUAUUACCAAUUCUACAGCAUGCAUGACAGACCAAAAGUGUAGGCAGCAUAAUGGAUCAAUAAUUACCACACUAAGUAGGAGAGAAGAUAACACAACUCCAUUCAUCAGAGUUUGAUAACUCAGCCGAAAUUAGACCCAUACAAGUUGAGAGCAUUAGUCGCAGGCAAAAGGCCAUCAACCAAAACAACAUACAAAAACUUUAGCAGGAUACAUCCUAUGUGCAGAAGCCGAUGAUGCCACACUUGUGUUAAUCAGGGACCCUUGUUCUGGUUGCCCCCCGCCUCCUCCUUCUUGUUGCCCCCCUCCAACUCCUCCUCCUUCUUCAGGGCCUCCUCCCUGGCGAGGAGCCUCUCCUCCCACUCCUCGAGGGCAGCCACGCGAGCCUUGUUGUCGGGCUCCAUGCCCACCUGCUCGUCCUGUACAGUUGUACUACUACUCACAGCUGUACAACUACUCACAGCCACCAUUGUUGGCAUGGAACUUAGAUAAAAUGGUAGGGAGGAAUCAAUAUGAUCCUUCCUGUACAGUUCAUGUGCAUGAAUAAAAAACAUACACUGAAAAGUACAUAGGUGACCCAAAACGAUAUAAGAGCUUGAAGAAAGCAAAUCCAUAGGUUUGCCAAACUGAGAUACCUGAUACUAAUGAUUAGAUACCAUAAAGAAAGGCAACAGAUAAGUUCACCAACUUGGUAACCCAUGAUGAAAUUGAAGGACCCAAUACUGUAGAUAUCAUAGCCACCUUAAUCAAAUACUAAAGGUACCACAUUUCUAUUUAAUAGUAUGUGAGGAGCCCCAGUUGUAUGAAACCAAAUUGAUAAUGAAACACUUGCAUCACCAGUGUUCACAACUAUUAAUUUCUCUACUACUACCAUCAGAAAGAGAUAUGAGAUGUGAAAUAAUCUAUCAUGUCGCUCAAAAAAAUAAUUUGGUUGCACAAAUUGGCAAACAUUAAAAGACCAAACUGCAAAAUCAAUGGGCCUGGCGCUGAUAGUUCAGGCAAGCCAACAGGGAUAAUUUGAGACAUCAUGUAGUGAUAAAUCUCACCACAAAGCUAAUAGUGCUAAUGUUUGCAUUAUAAACUUUUAAUGGCACACUGAUUGCUCUGUACAUGGAGUAUCAGCAUCGCAGAAAAGGAUGAUUCAGAUACAUCAAUAUUUCACAUAAGAGUGAAUCAUCCUUUACCAAGAUCAAGGGCAAAAAACAGUUAUGCAAAAGGAACAGUAUGAAAGGAAAAAAAUGUCAUCACGACAUUAAUGAUUACCUCAACUGAGGCAUCUAAAAAUGUACCCAUGCAUACUCAAGUGUUCCAACUGAUACGCCUAGAGCGAGGGAGACCUAAGGUAAAAAGAACACAAAAAAGAGCUCUUCCUGAAAAUAAGCAUAUGUUGCAUCCAUGUAAACGAAGCAAUAGAACACCUCACCAUAGAACAUGGGUUUAAAACUAGAAUAGAUGGACUAGUGCUGAUAACCUAUCAACAGGAACAUGACUGCAAGCUUUGUAGUAGUACAAAGGUGAAUGGUUGGACAUAAAUGAUCACCAUCAAAAUCAGGAUGGCACCCAUCUGGCAAUCUCUUAUACUUCAUCAAAAUACAGCUUGCUAUUUUGCAUUCCUACCAACAAUAAAAAGAGGCAAUAACCAGUUAGAUCACAGGGCCUAUUAUCAAUUCUACAGCAUGCAUGAUGGACCAAAAGUGUAGGCAGCAUAAUGGAUCAAUAAUUACCACACAAGUAGGAGAGAAGAUAACACAACUCCAUUCAUCAGAGUUUGAUAACUCAGCCGAACUUAGACCCAUACAAGUUGAGAGAGCAUUAGUGGCAGCCAAAAGGCCAUCAAGCGAAACAACAUACGCAAAACCUUUAGCAGGAUACAUCCUAUGUGCAGAAGCCGAUGAUGCCACACUUGUGUUAAUCAGGGACCCUUGUUCUGGUUGCCCCCCUCCAACUCCUCCUCCUCCUUCUUCAGGGCCUCCUCCCUGGCGAGGAGCCUCUCCUCCCACUCCUGCAGGGCAGCCACGCGAGCCUUGUUGUCGGGCUCCAUGCCCACCUGCUCGUCCUCUGUCAGGAUCUUCAUCAGCUUGUCCUCCACGCACAUCUUGAUCUCAGCGGUCUUCUUAUCCACCAGCUUCUUGGCCUUGUCGGUCACGGCGGUCCUUCCGGCGUAGUGGAUCACGCACAGUGAAGUGGACCCGAUGACCAGCGGCGACGAGCACCAGCAAAGAGACCUUGAGGGACGUCUGCCCAACCUCGACCGUCUUCUCGUAUUUCUUCGUCGCCACAGCCUCCGUGUAGCCGAUGACCUUGGUCGCGAGAUCGGUGAUUUGCUUGUUGCUCGCCGCGUGGCGCUGGACGCCGGCGGCGUCGAUCCUCGCGAUCUCCUUGAGGAUCUCAUCUGAUGUGGCCCUGUCGACGACGUCGGAGAGGAGGCGGCGCUGGCCGAAGGAGAAGCCGGGGCCGACCAUGGAGAGCGCGCGGCGGCUGGCGGCGGCGUGGAGGGAGGUGGUGGGGUGGAGGCCGGCGACGGUUGCAG